GAGAGUCUAGGUGAUCUCUUUAUAUUUAAGAACCUGAUCUUGAAUUUACAUCUCAUCAUCAUUUAGGACAUACAUUAGCAUUCAUAUUUGUAUUUAUUGCUCUUAUAUAUUUAUUCUAAUUAUUUAUAUUUAUGGUUCACCAUUCAAAUAUCUAAUUAUUUUUUAACAAAAUUUUUCAAGUUUUAAAAAUAAAUAAAUAAAUAAAUUUAAAAUAAUAUUCCAGGGAAUAUAAUUUUUGUACUUUUUUUAAAUGUUGGAGAGUCACCAAUAAUUAUUAUUUUCAAAGAAUAUUAUUUUAAUUUUUGAGGAAAUGUCAUGAUAAACAUUAGUCUAAAAGGAUUAUCUAUGAAUUAUGCCUUUAUGUCAGAGAAUUUUAAGGUAUUUCUUUAAUUUAGAGAUUUUCACAAUAUUUCUAAAUAAAGAUUUUUUAAUUUUUUAAAAAUGAAUGGAAUUGUAAUUAAAUUUCAUAUAAAAAACCAUUUUUUUCCAGAGUUAUAAAUAGCGCAUGGUUAAUUGGUACCAAUUUUUAUGGGCAUUGUAAGGGUGCUAAUCUUUCUCCAAACAUAAUCAACUCUUGAACCAAUAAUUGUUUGUAGACUAAAAUUAUCUUUUUAAUAAACUUUAAACCCGUUUUAUUGUUUUAUUAAAAUGAAAAAUUUUUGGGUGGCUAAUCACAUCUUUAAAAGAUUGUUGGUGACUCCUCUUGUUUUGAUGAUUUUUAAAUUUUAUGUCUAGCUAUUAAAUCUCCAGACUAAUAAUUAUAACAGCUUGACGACUCCACUAGAGACAUCUUGAGAGUCAAGCCAAAAAUUUUAAAUUAGACGCUAUCGAAAGCUUUUGAUUUAAUCAAUUUUAUUUGAUAUUUAAUUUAAUCCCCUUCAUUUUAAUUUUUCAAAAAAAAAUAAUAAAUAAAUUGCAUGUUAGUUAUUUCUUCUUUUGAAUUUGUUAUUUGAAAUUUAUUUAUUUUGUUUUGAUUAAUAUAUUGUUUCACACACUUUUGCAUAUUCACGUACAUACAUGAGCUUUAGUCUUGAGUUUCAUCCUUUGUAAAAGGAAGUGAAAUAGCUACACUCUCAUAAGGUGAUAACCUCCAUAUUUGCUAGGGAAAUGCUUCCACUAAAAUCAAAAUCUUUCUAUUUGUAGCCUGUAAUGAGUGAGGAUUAGUGUGCCUUAUUAGUUUGUAAUGGAUGAUGAUGUACAUUUGAUUUAGAAACCUUUAGAUGAAUAAAUCCCAUAUCGUGAGUCAUAGGAAGCUUCCUUAAGGUAGAGCCAUACCACCUUUUAAAAAACUAUCAAAAGUUAGAACACUACAUAUGUUUUGCUAUUUUGCUAUAUUAAAUGAUUGUUCUAUUGGUUUUAUUAUUUAUUUGUUAGGAUUAUUGACUCAUUUUUAUUUGUAUAGUCUUUAAUUUUGUUACAUAUAUUAUAUAGGCAUUAUAUUUUAAAAUGGAGUAUUUGUUUUAGGACAGAGAUCAGUAAAUAAAGUUUUCAUAAAGCCACCAGUAGUGUCAACUUCCAAAAGAAAUUAAUUAGAAAAUUGAAAACUAUGGCAAUCUUUUUUGUAAAAAUUACCAAAAUUAGGAUAUGUGAGGCAUUUUGAUACAGUUUGUGUUUGAGGGUAAUAAUACUACAAAUAAAGUUAGGAUAAAAAAAAGCAAAAAAAGAGAAAGAAAAAAAAAGGGAAUCCAAAUAAAAGGAUAGAAAAAGAAAAAGAGAGAUUUAGGAUAGGAGUUUGUCAUCGUUUUGGAGUUUAAUCAUUUCAUUCUACAUUCAUCGUUUAGGUGAUUUGUAUAUUUUGGGUUUUUCGAUUUUUGUAUAUAUCUUUGCAUUAUUAUCAUAUUCAAGCAUUGAUAGAUAUAUUUUAUGUAGCAUGCAAAUUAGGAAUUGUGUCAUUCAUUCAACAAGAAUAAUAGCAUAAGCAUUUUUGGUUUAAACCCUUAAAAAAAUACAUUUGUUUUAAUGGGUAAAGAAGCUGAAAAUAUAGAGGAUCAAUUUGAAGUCUGAAUUAAUGCAUUAGAAUGCAAUCAAGAGGAGUUUGAUCAUGACAUUCGAUAGAUGAAAACACAACUUCCUGAGUUGACAAAAAUGGUUGAUGGACUCAAAGAAUUUAUUUUAGUGUCUACCCAAGGUUCUUUACCAGUUUUAGCUUAAGUAAGUCAUAUGAACUCGUGGAAUCGUAAUCAAUCGAUUCCUGCUAGGCCUAAUACAUUUCUUGAGCAUACUGAAACAUUUAGUGGUUUGAGCAAUACUAAAGGUUUAGAUAAGAUCAUAAAAGGGAUGAGUGAUUUGACCACACAAGUGUUUGAGCUCCAAAAUUUGAUUUCCAAGAUGGCAUCACUAGGUUCCAUGCAACCUUCACCAAUCAUUUUGAAUUAGAAUUUGCAUUCAAAUAUUUCUUAUGAUUGUUUUUUACCUCUUUUCCAAGCAUCUAAGACAAGGACCCAAAACUUCAUACAAUCUCCGAGAAGUCUAUAUCUAAACCAAAAUCUUCAGCUUGCCAUUCCCUAACCACCUAUUCAGCCAAUUGUUCAACUUCGAACCUUUGUACCACUACCAAAUCCUUAGACUCCAAAUCAAUCUAUUGCCCAAAAAUUAUGCAAGAAAAAGAAACAAUUAGAUCUAUCCCCAUUUUAUAUGAGAAAUUCUUUCCUUAUCUAUUUGAGAAACACAUUGUUGUCCCUCUGCCUUUAAAGCCUUUAUAGCCUUCAUACCCAAAAUAUUUUUACCCAAAUGCAAGAUGCGAAUACCAUAACCGGAUUAUAGACAUUCCAUUGAGAAUUAUGAAGGUUUUAAAAGCAAGGUGCAAUCACUCAUAGAUGCAAAAUGGUUCGAUCCAAUGACAAUAGGGGGUUAACGAUUUAGGAAAAAUGAAAAGAGGAUGGCAUGAUGAUGAAUAUGGAUGGGAUUUUUUUAUUAAAAAAGGUCUUUAAGUGUUUGGAAAUGAAAUGCUUUGCAAAUUUCUUUUGUUUGUGAAAUAUUUUUUUAUGUUAAUAUGGUGUUGGUUUUUUAAACCUAGAUAUAUAAAUUAUGGUUUAUCUUUAAUUCUUGUCCUUUUUCUAAUUUUCACACUUUUUAUCAGAGAGCUUUGUCAUUUGUGCAUUCAUUCAUUCAUUAUGCUAAAAAAAACAAAAAGAAUUUAUUUGAGAAUAAUCUUUAUGAUUUCUUCUAAGGAUUAAAAGAAUAUUGAUUUGAUAGGAGAGAUGAAAAAGAUUAUCGAAAGACAUUUUACUCGAGGAAAUGAUCAACCUGAAGGACUUAGCUUAGGACCCUUAAGGGAAAAGUCAUGGAAAUUGGAUGAAGUAUAGUCUCUUGGAAGAAAAGAUUCAAGUUGUUGAAAGUAAGGAUAAAUCAUGUAAUGUAAAAGGAUCCCAGUUAGUUCCAAAUGUGGUUAUUCUGCCCAUGUUCAAGGUUUUAACAUUUGAAAAGUAUAAUGGAACUAGAUGUCCUGAGACACAUUUGGCUCAAUACUAUCACAAAAUAGUUGGGUAUACUAGUGACAAAAACCUACUUAUUCAUGCCUUUUAAGAAAGUUUGGCUAAGGCAAUAGCUAUUUGGUAUUACAGUCUGAAAAGUAGCCAAAUUCCUACUUGAAGGGAUUUAUCUUAGGCAUUUUUAAAGCGAUACUAGUACUUGUUAGAGAUGUCUCCAAAUUGAUUAAUCCUUCAAAACAUGAGGAAGAGCCCUAAUGAGAACUACAAAGAAUAAGUUGCUAGAAAGAAAGAGGUUACAUCGUAAGUUUGGCCAUAUUUAAGUAAUAAGGAGUUGAAUUCCUUAUUUGUGGAUGCCCCUUUUUCUCUUUAUUAUGAUAAGUUGAUUGGUAAUACGUCCUCAGAAUUUAUUAAUCUACUAUUUGUUAUAGGUAAAAUCAAGGAUGGGAUAAAAAAAAAAGAAUUAUGAAUGCCAAUGUGGAGAUUCCUAAUGAAAGGCAAUGGAAUACUUUUGAGGAAUAUGCAUAAGAGAUAAUUGUUGAAAGGCAAAAUGAAGAAAACUUUACUAUGAUAUCAGAAGGUUUGGUGAAUGAUUAUUCCCAAUGGUCACUAUAUUGUUCCCAAUUGACAUCACAAGCUAGUGAUUUUCCUCAACCAUUUCAUUAGUAUGCUCUAAAUCCUUCGCCGUAAGCAUUCACAAAAUAAAAGAUUAACACAAGCCAUUCACAAGGUCAUAAGAGAAAAAAAGUGAAAUGUAUCAUUCACUCCCAAUGUUUUACGUCGAGCUCUUCACUUUACUUGUCAAAAAUCAUAUGAUUUUUGUUGUCCCUACAACCCAAAAAGCUUCCUUACCCAAAGUGGUAUAAUCCAAAAGCUAAGUGUGAAUUCCAUGAUGGGGUUGAAGGGUAUUCCUUAGAAUCUUGUAUUGCCUUCAAUAAUAUAGUUUAGGCUCUGAUUAACACAAAUCCUGUAAAGUUUAAAGAACUGGUUAGUGGUUUUAAUGAUUGAUAGUGGUAUAGUUGCAGGUCAAUGAUGCUAAAGUUAAAGCGCUAAGUAGGGAAACUUUUGUUUCUGUAACUUUGAAUGUCAUCUCAAGAAUACCAUUGAGAAUACGAAUAUUUGGGUCAAGUCUGAAUGUUUGCACUACAUGAGUGGACAUUAUGCAUCAUAGUAUUUUGUGGAUUUAUAUUAUCAUUUAGGUCUUUUUAUUUCCUUUAAAUUUUGGAUAUUAUAGGUUUUCUUUGAAAAACAAUUAUUCAACAGGGGAAAUUAUUGAAUUUGAAUAAAGCCCCACAUAGUUAAGUACCAAGGUUUUAGAAAGAGAAAUGUUUUUAAAAAAAUAUAAAAAAAAAACAAAAAAAAGUUUUGUGAUUAAAGGAAAAGUCUCAAAUCAGUUGGUGAUUGCUAUUAGAAAUUUGUCAAAUACCUCAACACUUUUCCUUAAGCUUUUCAGUUGAUUCCAUUCAAAAGCCAUGACCCUUUAAAAGCCAUGAAUUUGAACUUGUGGAUCUUGCACUUGCUUGAUAAUGUUAUGAUAUCAAAGGGUGAUAUUCAUUUCUAAUGCAAUGAAAAAUGAAACCUUGUUGAAAAGGAAAAGAAAUGUGGUUCCUAGAAGAUCAAAUGAAUAUGACAUUUUUAAGAAUUUAGAUGUGGUAAUUUAAUUUGACAAUGUUAUGCUAUAACUUCAAAAAUUUCAAUGUCAAAGCCAACCUAAAUCCGAUAAAAUGACCUCAGACAUACUAACAUUUUAACUCUUUACCCAAAAAUUGGCCUAGCCUAUAUGUCUUAAGGGCACAUUAAUCAAAAACUUACCAAUCUUUUAGUUCUUUAUCCUAAAAUUAGCCUGGUCUAGUGUCUUGGGGGCACACUGAUUAAAGAAGAAAGCCUCAUUGCCUUUAAGAUAACUUGAGUUAUGAUUUGCUCAGUUGUUCUUUUUGUGGAGCGAUAUGAACUAUUUAAUACCUGAAAUGGAUUUAUUCCACGGACCCUUUUCUUGUUUAUUCUACAUAACCCUUUUUUUGUAAUAACUUUCAUUAAGAAUGGUUUGUUAAAAUGGGGCAUUUUCCAUGAAAUGCAUUAUUGGUAAAGUAAAUUUAGUUAUGACUUAUGGGGACAUGCCAAAGAAAAAGAAACAAAUAAAAAAGGAAAAAGGAACAAAAAGAAGAAAAAAAAAAAGGAAAGGAAAAAUGGAUAUGAUACCAUGCACUUAAAAAAUUUGAAUAAAUCCAAAUAAAGUCUUGACAAAUCUAAAAUUUUAGAGAAGAAACAAAAAAUACACACAAACCGAGAAAAAAAAAGAAAGAAAGAAAAAACCAAAAGCCAAAAAUGAAAAUAAAAAAGAAAAGUAAAAAAAGCCAAUAAUCCAAAAAAAAUUUUGAAAUAAAAUUCUUUAUUCAAGGUCAUUUUCUUAAUGGGAAUUCUUGUUCAAUUUAAGUGAUUACGCUUAAAACGAUAAAUGACCGCCUUUCAUCAUUCAUUCACAAAUAUAGAAAUUUAUUCUUUACUAACCCUUUAAACCUGAUAAAUUUUCUUUAAAAAAUUAACCUUAACUAAGAAUCACCUUCUACACUGGGAAGGCAAAAAGGGAUACAUUUAGGGGUUAAAAAAUAAUGAUGUCCAAACGGAAUCCCAUAUGUUUCUUGGAAAUCAUCUUAGAUGUUCAUCACACUUGAUCUUGCAAUCUUGAAGAGUUUCAACUAAGUUUGCAUUACCAAGACCUUGUAAUUGCUUUUCACCCUAACUCUUAAGAUUAAUCUUGCAAAAGUCCAAGUAUUUUAUCAAGUAAUAUUCUAACUCAUACCCUAACUCUUAAGAUUAAUCUGUGAAUGAUAGCUUUUUUUUGGACUUUUCUUUCAAUAGUCCAUUAAUAACUAUUUAAUGCCAUUUCCUUUAUCAAUUUGUAAGCUUCCUUGAUGGACUUGCUCUUUAAGGCAUCUCUAAUAGCUAAGUCGAUGGUUGUCCUUAUUGGUGUCGCCAACCCUUUGUAGAAAAUAUAUAGUUAUAACCACUUUAGUAACCUAUGUUGUGGACAUUUCCUUAGUACCUUCUUGUACCUCUCCUAAGAGUCAAAGAGUGUUUCUCUUUCAAACUGUUGGAAUGUGGUGAUUUCAUUACUUAUCUUAGCUGUCUUGGUUAGGAAAGAAACUUGGCUUAGAACUUUUGCAACAAAUCAUCUUAAGUUGUGAUUGAGCUAGGUGGAAGCAAAGCUAGCCAACUCUUUACUUUGUCCUUAAGAGAAAUAGAAAUAGUCUUAGUUUUAUAACAUCAUCAGAAGCACCAUUAUAUUUAAAAUAGUCAUACAAUUUAAGAAAAUUAGAUAAGUGAAGGUUAGGAUUAUCAUUUGGUAGACUGUUGAACUGCAAGGUUUUUUAACCAUUUAGAUGAUCAAUGGCUUUCUCUUAAAGUUGUUAGCUUGGAUUCUAAGACUCCUUAUGGAAGGUUGGAAUCUUUCAAGAUCUAGAAUAGCAUAGUCCAUUAAUGUUCUCUAGUUUUUUCUAGGAUAUACCAAUGGGAUAGGAGUUGUUGAUUACUUUCUUCUUAGUCUUCUAGCUAGGAUCUACCAUUGGGACAAUAGUUGUUGAUUAUUUUCUUCAAGGAGUUGUUGAUUGCCUGCGCAUGAAAAUAAAAGAUCAAAAGUGAUAAUUAUAACAAAAUAAAAUCUAAAUUACAAAGAAAAAGAAUUCAUAUUGAUAUUGGUCAUCUUGCACCGAAAUCAUCCCCAGCAACAACACAAAAAACUUGAUUGCUACUUUUAGGCCUGCAAGUUCACAGAUUGUUAUCAAGUAAUAAACUAAUGAUUGAAUAUCAUUCCUAUGAGAUUUAGAUAAGGAAUGCUUAAAAGACCAAGUACCAAAAUUGAUCUUUUUGACCUUAUAUUUAAAUAUUGCAAAAUUUGGGACAAGAAAAAAAAAACUAAAGCGAUUAUCUAAAAAUGUAUGAAAAUGGCAUUUACAGUACUUGCAUAGAUAAAUGAAGUAUAAGUUAAGAGGGGUGACAAAUGGCAAGAGUUGAGCCAAAAGCUACCAAGGCCAAAUGGUGCUAAGAUGCACUUAAGGGGAGAAAACUAAAUAUAUUGAUGCUUUUGGAGGCCGAUUGAAGUGCUUCACAAGAUGAUCAAUGCUAGCACUUGAGUUGACCAAAUGUAACAAGAGUAAAGAAAGAAAAUUUUCAAAGAUGUAAAAGAAAGUGAAGGCAAGAAAACUGUAAGAUGAUUAUGACAUUAGGAAGGUAAAAGGAAAAGCAUAAAGAUUUGGAAAUAAAACUUGAACUUAAAUUGCAUAAAAAGUAAAAGAGACCUUGAAAAUAACUUGUAUUGAAAAGAAGCAAGCUUGAAAACAAAAGUUUAGGCUAGUCUGUUGACCUAGCCAAACAUAAUAAAAAAACUAUAGGAAAUUUUAACUAAAGUUGAAGUAUAAAGAAAAGAAAAGAAUGGAUAAAAUAGGAUGCUCUUCAAGUCAACUUAGGCUGCCUAUUUAUAGGAUAAGGCCAUAGGAAGGGGAGAUGAACCUAGACAAUCCUAUCUUGGCCGAAACUCUCAUUUAAAUUUAAAACUAGUUUUGUUUUAGUGAAUCUCAAAUGGUGACCGUAGAUACCUAAUUUUGUUCAAGGUACUUUUCUUUCUGAUCUAGACUUAUUUUUGCAAUUGGGUUCGAUUUUCAUUUUUCAAGCCUAAUAUAUGACCCAUUUUCAAAAUGCUAUAAACGCUUAUUCAUAAAAAGCUCAUUAAUGGUCAUAAGAAUAAUAAUAGUAAUAAUAAAUAUAUAAAUUAAAAUUUUAAAAAUUUAAAAAAUUUAAAAAUUUAAAAAUUUAAAAAUAUAAAAAUAUAUAAAAAAUACAAAAUUCAAAAUUCAAAAUAUAAAAAAAUUCAAAAUUAAAAUAUAAAACAAUAACAAUAAUACAUAAUAAAUAAUAAAAUAAAAAACAUAUAAAAGUGGGCCAUAAAAUAAAACUCAAAGGCCGCAAGUGGAACGUUGUUUUCAAAGCCCAAGAUAUGUAAAAGGGAAAGGCUUGUUCGGUGGAGCCUGUAUGAAUGCAAAUCAUGUAAAAAACGUGGCUGGAAUCCACAUGCAAAAACAUUCAAAAAUGCCAAGGAACGUGGAAAAGGGGGCUAAACAAAUAAAACUGAAAGGAUGGUGGUCAGGAAACCUGGGGACGUGAGAACGUGAAGAGAAGCAAAAGGAAAGCAUGCAGAAACGGUACUAGCAGGGAGGGUAAAGCAAAAGGAAAAUAUAGAGGGAAACGGGGAGAAGAUGAAAACAACUGGCAGUUUUGAAAAAGGAGAUUGGAAACCACGAAACAGAAAUGAUGCAGAAAAAAAAAAAAAAAGAGACAAAAAAGAGCAGAAGAAAGCAACCAAAAGAGGCUGAACAGAAGAGAAAUAAAGCAGAAAAGCUGAAGCCACGGUACUGGCAGCAGGGAGGACGGCAGUUGACGAGAGGCAGUGGCAACCAAAACUGGGCUGAUGGUGUGGAAGCAAAGAAGGAGGCAGUAGCAAGCAAAACGGAAACCAGAAAUCAAACCAGAAAAAACUGGGCAGCAAGGCAGCACCGGUCGCAAUCUAUAGCAGGAGGAAAAGACAGAGGAAGAGAGGAGCAGGAAAAAUAAAAAAAACAAGCGUGGGUAGCAGACAAGAAGAAACCAACAAAGAAUUAAAGCAGAAAGGGGACAAAAAGGAGAGAACCAACAGUAGCAAAAAACCAAAGAAACAGAAGCUGAAAGGGGAGCACCUGAAGUAAAAAAGAAAAGGAAACCAUGAAAAAGGCAGAAGGAAAGGAGGAAUUUUGCGAAAGAGAAGGUUAAAGGCCGACACUUUGGUGAAGGGCUUGAAAAAGAUAAUUCGUUUCGGUAUUUUCGUGGUUGUUUCUGCAUGCAAAUACUAUCAUAUUUGUAAGAACAGCUUAAGGUACAAAACAACUCUUAUUCGUUCGAUAUGAUGUUUGAAAUUUGUGCUUUUUCCUGUAUGGUGUGUGCAAGUCAUUUAGCCUUUGUUCCAUAUGAUGUUUGAAACUUGUGCUUUUUCCUAUACGGUUUGUGCAUGUCAUUUGGCCUUUUCUUGAUCCUGUCUUGGCUUGUUCAUGGGAGCUUAAAAGCUUCACUGCCUUUGGCUAAUGAUUGCUCUAAUCGCCUGUAAAUUGUGGCGGAGGCUUGGAGCUUCACUUAUUUACUUUAUUUUAUUCUGUUUUGCUAGUCCUUAUGGCGUGAUAUUUGGUCUUGGAGCUUCACUUUUUAUUUUAUUUUAUUUUAUUUUGCUAGUCCUUAUGGCAUGAGAUGUGGUUGUAGACGCCCAAAGUUACAACUUUUUCAUGGUUUCUGAUUUCUUCUGUCAGCAUAUAGUCUUUAUACAAGAUCAUAAAGCUUUAACAUCUUUGUGCAUGCUGUUUGUUCUGUUUAAACUCAAAGGUUUGGGUUUUUCAUGCUUGCAGGGUCGGAUGCAUGUUAAGCUAUUGUUUAUGCUUCAAAUCUCAUACGGUUUUCUAUAAUUUGAUUUUUUUUUCUUUCUCUAUGUAUGAGUUGAUUAAAUAUUAAAAAAACUUUUUUGAAAAUAAUAACAAUAAUAAUAAUGAUGAUGAUGAUGAUGAUGAUGAUGAUAAUAAUGUUUAUUAAAUAAUAAUAAUAAUAAUAGUAAUAAUAAUAAUAAUAAUAAUAAUAAUAAUAAUAAUAAUAAUAAUAAUAAUAAUAAUAAAAGUAAUUGUUUUAAAUCUCUCCUUAAAUGUUGGAGGAAAUUUUUAAAUCAAAUGUUUAAAAAAAUAAUAAUAAUAAUUCUUCCUAGAUGUUUGGGAAUUAUUAAAUAAUAAAAAUAUAUUAACAAAAUAAUAAUAUAAUAAAUUUUAAUGGAAAGGAAUAUACAAAACAUAAAAAUUAAUUUUUAGAAAUUAUUAAAAAUGAGCUUGUCCCCAAAAAUAUAACAAUUUGUUUUUUAGAAAUUAUUAAAAACAAGCUUAUUUUGAACACAUAUAUAUAAGAAUUAAUUUUUGGAAAUCGUAAAAAAUAUGCUUACUCUAAAACUCUGCCUAAAUAUUGAAGAUUUUUAAAGAAGUUCUCAAACUUGAAAAACCCUAAUUGAAACUAAAAUUAAAACCUUAACUGAAACCCUAAAAUUAAAACCUUAAAUUGAAACCCUAAAAUCAAAACCUUAAGAGAAAUCUGAAACCUUAAAUAGGCCUUAGUCAAAAUCUUAAAUUAAACUUUGCAAUGCCAAACCUAUCUAAAACCUCAAACUUGUUUUAAAUUUUAAUGAUUUAUAUGAAAACUUUUUAUGAAAUAAUUUGUUCUCGAGUGCUGCCUAAAUGAUGAAGUAUUUAUAAAAUUUUAUUUUAUUAAGAAUUUUCAUAUAUUUUCAUAACUUAAAAUAAAUUCAUUUUGUAAAAAUAAAAAAUAUAAAAAUAUAAAAUAAUAAACAUAAUAGGACUAGAUUUUAAAUAUAAAAUUUUACAUCCAAACUCUACUUAGAUAUUAGAGAGUUCAGGUGAUCAUUUUAUAUUUCAAAACCUGAUUUCUAAAUUCACAUUUUAUCUUCAUUUGCAUACAUCUCAUUUUUUUAGAUUAAUUUGUACAUUUAUAAUACGCACAUAUGUUUAUUCUAUUAAUUAAUGUUAAUAUUAAUUAUAUCAUUUUCAUUUUUUUACUGCAUAAAAAGUUUAUUAACAAAAGUUUUAAAAAAAUAAAAUUAAAAUAGCAUUCCAUGAAAUGUAAGUGUUGGUACUUUGCCUAGAUAUUAGAGAGUUACCAAUAAUUAUCAUUUAUAAAGAAUGUUAUUUUAUUAAUUUUAAAAGGAAUGUUGUGAUAAAUUUUCAAUGAAAAAAUUAUCUUUGAAUUCUACCUUUAUGUUGGAAAAUUCAAAAAUAUUUUUAUCCUAAACUAUAAAUAGCGCAUGAUUAUUGGUAUCAAUUUUAUAGGUGUUGUGAAAGUACUAAUCCUUUCUCAUGUGUAACCGACUCUCAAACCUGAUCUUAUUUUCGUAGACCAAAACUAUUUUUUUAAUAUAGCUUUAAAUCCGUUUUAAAUGUUUUAUUAAAAAGAUAAAAUUUUGGGGUGGCCAAUCAUACCCUAACAAAGAUUGAUGAUGACUUCUCGUAUUUUUUCAUGAUCUUAAAUUUUUAUGUCUAGCAAUCAAGUCUGCAAACAGAUACAUUAUGAUAGCUUGGUGACUCCACUGGAGACAAUUAGAGAGUUAAGCCAAAAAUAUUAAUUAUGUAUUAUUAAAAUUUGUUGGGUUUAAUGGGUUUUUGAUAUUUAACUUAAUUCCCUUUAUUCUAAUUUAUCAAAAAAAAUAUAAGCUAAUAAAUAAAAUAAAUUGCAUGUUAGUUAUUAUUUUGUUUUGAUUUUGCUUUAUGAUUUAUUAUUGUUAUUUUGAUUAAUAUGUCACUCUGCACACUUUUGCAUAUGCACUUACAUGCAUAAACUCCAGACUCAAACUCUGUCCUUAUUAAGAGGAAAUGAAGUAGCUAGGCUCUUGUGAGAUGAUAACCUCCAUAUUUGCUAAUAAAACAUUUCUACCCAAAUCAAACCUUUUCCGUUUGUAACAUGUAAUGGGUGAGUAUUGGUGUGCUUUAUUAAUAUAUAAUGGAUGAUGAUGUAAGGUUGAUUUGGGAAUUUAGACAAGUAAAUCCUAACUCGGCAUAUUGUAAGCCAUGGUAAGCCUGCUUAGGGUAGAGCCAUGUCACAUUUUUUAGAAAAUUAUCAAAGGUUAGGACACUGUAUAUAUUUUGUUAUUUUUGUUGUAUGAUACAAUUGUUUUCUUGUUGUUAUUAUCUGUUUGUUUUGAUCAUUGAUUACUUUUAUUUGUACAACAUUUAAUUUUGUUGCUUACAUCAUAUAGAUACUACAUUUUAAGAAAUGUAUUUGUUUUGGGUUAAUCAACAAUAAAGGAAGCAGCAUGAAGCCACCAAUAGCAUUAGCCUCUAGCAAGAAUUAUUUGGAAGUUAAAAGCCAAUCAAAAAGCAUCUAAUGGAAAGAAAAAAACUACUUAAGUGUGGUUAUGUUUCUUCAUUUCCACUGUUGGUGCACGUGGAUUUGAAUAAGAAUGACAUAACAGAGUUAGAAACCAUAUGGAAAUAAUGGGGAGUAGAAAAAAAAAGAAUUUUUUUUUUGAAGAAAUUUGGGGAUAUGGCACUACUCCUAUCAGUGAAGAUUGAUGAGGCACUAUUUAGGGCUACGAUACAGUUUUGUGAUCCAUCUUAUCGACAUUUCAUGUUCAACCAACAAGACUUAACCCCCAUAGUAUAAAAAUAUGCCUUUUUACUCCAUAUAGAGUCUACUGGUCAAGACAAGAUCUAUUGCAAUGAGCAAAAGACCAUUGGAUAUAGAAAAAAAUUUGCCAAAAUUAUGCAAAUAGGGGUCAAGGAGAUAGACAAGCACAAAAAGGAAAAUAAUGGGGUUGAGAUAAUUCCAUCAGCAUUUCUAUUAGAGCAUAUGGAAAAGCAUCUUGCUAUUGAUCGGAGAUUGGAUUUAUUUACUUUGGCUGUGUAUGGCUUGAUGAUAUUCCCUAAGGUCUUAGGACAUAUAGAGGCAUCAGUGGUUGAUUUCUUUGAGUAGUUAGAUAAAGGUAUAAAUCCUUCACGGGCCAUUUUACCGAAACCAUUAAAUUGCUUAAUUUCUGUCAAAAAAAUGGUUAGGGGUGAUUCAUAGGAAGUGCUCAGUUGCUUUUUGUUUGGCUUAGAAGUCACUUUUGAGGAAAAGAGAAGAUUUCAUUUUAGCCUUUCUCCAUUCAUUUCAUUCCCAUCAAGGAGUUUGUCACCAAGGAAUGGCAAAGGGAUUAGAUAAAAUAUCAAUCGAUGUCAUUCUUUUUAAAGCUUACUGGUGAGGAUGUAACAUAGAGGGUGCUUGAUGCUUCCUAUAGACAUUUUGUACAGUUAUGGAGAUGAGUCAUAGUUAUCAUUACUAGGGUUAUGAGGGGUAGUGAGUUAUACAUCUCUCAUGGUUUAGAGGUAAUAUGAUUCUCAUCAGUUCAUACCUAUGACUCAUGGACUUAGUUCACUUGAGUUUAACUAUAAAGCACUUGGUUAUAUGAAAAAAGUCUGAGAGGUCAUCAAAGCAUGGAAGCUAAUUAAUUAGAUAAACCCAAUUAGAUAUACAGAUAAUGUUGUAGAAGGGUACCUUGCAUGGAGAAUGAAAAAAAUUAAUAAAGUUAGGCCUCUACCAGUAGAUGUUUUAGAUCAGUUGUUCACUUUUACUUUAGAGCCAAUAUUGUCAGUUCUUGAGAUUGCUUAGCAAAAGUUUAAGAUGGAAACAAAAAAAAAAGAUGGAGAAAGAGAAUAUGACAAUAAUAGAUCAAGUCAACUAGUUGAGGUAUGAUUUGAUGAUGAAAAUUGAUGUAUUAUAGAAGUUGACCUAGAAGUGAAAAGUUUUGAAAGAAGAUUUACAAGAUCUUCACCAAGAGAAUAAGAGAUUGAAGAUAGACAUUAGACCUUUAAGGGGAUCUAAAAAGGAUAUGGAAGAAUUAAGAAAGAUGGUAGAGUAUUGGAACAGUAGAGCUCAAAAAAAUAAGGAAGUGAUCUUUGCACUUACCGAAGAAUAAGCAUGAAAAGAUAAAGUUUCUAAAGUCUCUACAAAGGUAGCUAAGUGCUAAGAAGAAAAUAAAAGGCUAAGGGCUGGAUGGAAAAGAGAACAAAAUAGGAGUUCUGGUUUGCAAAAGGAGAAAAAAGCUUUGGAACAAGAGCUGAUGAGCUUGAAAAUUCAAUUGGUCAACAAUCAGAAUCACAUAGAUAAGAUUUUGAUUGAAUGGCAAGAGAGAGAGGAUUAUUAGGCUCAUACCUACAACAUGAAAAUGGAAGCUCAGGAAAUGUGGAAAACAGAAAGCCUAGGAAGGCAAUAGUAUAUAAAGCACUUAACUUCUCAAAUCUAUAAGUUUGUGCAAAAAGCAAACGAAAUAGUGGAAAGAGCUGAAGAACUUAAGCUAGAAGUCAUACUAACUCAGCAUUGUAGUCAGCAAUUCUUGAGUUUCUUAUAUGAAGCUAAGGAGCAGUACGCUCAAGUUAGGUGUUUUUAUGGUUAUAAUGCACGGAUGAUUGUUUGAUGUACAAAUAUUUCUAUGGUUAAUGAAUGUUUCUUUUUACUUAGAUUGAUCCAAAACAAUACUUCUUUUGCAUUACAUUAAAUUUAUUGCAUACAUGUAAAUUAAUAAAAGCAAAUUAUUAAUAAUACUAAUAAUAUCAAUAAUAAUGAUUAUACCAUGUGUUCUAAUUCAUGAGCAAUAAUUAGAAGUUCAAGGAUAGCGAAACCAAUGAAAUUAGCUCAAACAAUCUCACACAAGUAUAAUACAUGCUUUAAUUCUUGAAUUAUGAAAAAAAAUUCAGCUAAGAUUGAAAGAGUCGAGAUGGUACAUGAGGAGAUAAGGGAGAGAGUGAUGGAAAUGCAGUAGAAUAUCGAGGCACAAAUGUCCGAGUUAAGACAAUUAUUACUUAGCUUCCUAAAAGGUAAAAAAGUUGCUAGUACAUAAGGGAAGUGGGAUUAAUAUAGAGGAAUUAGCAUAUUCUUCAAGAUUCACUCUAUCUCGAGUUCAUACUUCUCGAGGAAUCCAUUCGUAGCCACCAACCACACGACCAUUCACUUUUGCUAGACCUUUUGUUAGUCAACCCCAACCUUUCACUUUUGUUGGACCAUCUGCUAGUAAACCCCAAGUACAUGUGAAUGUCAAUCUAGGAUCGAUUCCUGUCAAUGUUAUCAUGGUACCAAAUUUGGAUGAUCAUAUUGAAUAAGACAAGCUACUUAGCACAUCUACGCCAGUGGUGAGUGUUGAGAUGAAAAAUAAGUAUGAACUGCUAGAAGAAAGACUAAGAGUCAUGGAAAAGAAUGACAUCUUUAAGAACAUAGAUGCAAAUGAGCUUAGUUUAGUGCCUGAUUUGGUCAUACUGGAAAAAUUCAAGGUUUUUAAUUUUGAAAAGUUUGAUGGAACUACAUGUUUUUUUGCUUAUAUUACGAUGUUUUAUCAUAAAAUGGUAGGUCAUACUCAUAAUGACAAGCUUUUGAUACAUUAUUUUCAAGAUAAUUUAACUAAAUCAAUAGCAAGAUGAUAUGUUAAGUUAGAUCAAAGCAAGAUCCAUACAUGGAAAGACUUAGCUAAAGCUUCUUUAGCCCAAUAUAAGCAUGUCAUUAACAUUGAUUCAGACAAGCUAUAUCUAUAAAAUAUAGAAAAAAAAGUCAACAAAAACCUUUAGUGAGUAUAUGCAUCGUUAGAGAGAUGCAGUGGCUCAAGUCCAACCAUCACUAACUAAGAAAAAAGUUUCAGUGUUGUUUAUUAGCACAUUGAAGCCUUGUGUUAUGAUAAGCUGGUGGAAAAUGCUAUAAAAAAAAUUUUUUAACAUGGUAAUUUCAAGAGAAAUGAUUAAGAAUGCCAUUAAAACUAGCAAGAUUGAAAGACCUCAAGCUUUUGAUACCAAGAAGUCAGCCAACCCAACCAAGAAAAAGUAAGAGAUAUAUGCUAUGUCUAUAGGGAAUCCCUCAUUUUUACUAUUUAUCCCAUAUAAUCCAAGACCGUAAUUCGCCACCUAUUAUCGAACCACUAAUCAAGCUAUCCAACUACCAUACCACUAUCAACCAUCCUAACAACCACCAUAUAGACCAGAAUUCAAUCCACAAUCAUCAAGUUUCACUUUGAUAAUGUCAACUCAAUCAACCAGUUCAAGCUAAAAAAACCCACGAAACAACAACAAUCAAGAGAAACCUCAAUUUGAUCCUAUCCUUAUGUCAUACACCAGUUUGUAUCUAUAGUUGAUGAGAGGUUACCUUAUUGCUCCUAAAAGUAUAGUGCCAUUGAAGCCAUCAUACCUAAAAUGGUAUGACCCCAAUGCCAAGUGUGAUUAUUAUUAUGGUGUAGCAGGUCAUUAUGCUGAAAAUUGUACGACUUCGAAAUAUAAGGUGCAAGAGCUAAUAGAUCAAAGUUUGUUAAAUUUUAACUCUAAAUUUAAGCCUAAUAUUAAUGGAAACCUUUUUCCCAAUCAUUCUAGUGGCAAUACUAAUAUAGUGUCAGAUGGAAAAAGGUUAAAAGUGAAACAAUGGGUCAGCCAAGUGAAGUCUCCAAUGAAGAAAGUUUUUAACUAUUUGGCUAAGAAUGGGCAUGUGAUCUAAAACUGCCAAGGAUUUUGGAUGGUGUUGUAAUAGUUAAUGGAUAAAGAGGUGAUUAAAUUCUAUGUUAAAGAUGAUGAUAGCAACGUGAAUAUGAUAGGUGAUAGGUCGAAAAUGCCUUUCAUUCCAAAACGUCUCAUUAUAUUUUAUGAAAAUAAAACAAAACCAGCUAUAGAAAAGCUAGUGCAUUUCCCUAGAGCACUAUUGAAAAUUUAUAUUCUUUGUCUUUUUUCCUACAAAAGUGAUAAGUUAGUCCCAUGAGACUAUAAUUGUAAAGUGGAAAUUCAAGGGCCUGCUGAUAAAGUAGCUUUAGAGAAAAAAGAAAGUGAGCACAUCACAAAUAUAAUAGGAGUAGGAGGAAUGACUAGAAGUAGUUAUUAUUACACUCUUGAAAUGCUUGAAAAAGUUAAGAAAAGAAAGGAAAGGCAAAGGAAGAAGAAGAGGUCAUAAUGGAAAGAGAUUCAGGUCAUAUUAUAACAAGUCCAGAGUUCAGUACAAGAAGCUUGUGUCUAAAAAAAAAACUUGUGAGUUUCUCAAGGUUAUCAAACACAGUGAGUACAAUGCAGUAGACCAAUUGAAUAAGUUGCUAGCUUGUAUUUCAUUGUUGUCUCUACUACUAAACUCAGAACCAUACAGGAAUGCUUUGUUAAAAGUUUUUAAUCAGGUUUAUGUUGAGCAUAAUAUUUUUGUAGAGAAUGUGGAUCACAUGGUAGAGAAUAUUAUAGCCUUAAAUUUUAUUUCUUUUAAUGAUAAUGAGAUACCUCCUAAAUGACAAGGUAGUGUAAAAGCUUUACACAUUACGGUUAAGUGUAAAAUUCAUAUGAUGGCCUAAGUGCUUAUUAAUAAUGGGUCAUCCAUUAAUGUAAUGUCUAUGACCAUGCUUUCAAAGUUGCCAGUGGAUCAGUCACCUAUGAGAAAUAGCCAUAUGAAAGUUAGGGGUUUUGACAAGGCAUGGAGGGAAGUAAUUGGUGAUAUUGAAAUUUCAUUGUAGAUUAGUUUGUAUACCUUUAAUGUUCAGUUCCAGGUUAUGGACAUUACACCGUCAUAAAGUUGUUUACUUAAAAUACCUUAGAUUCAUACAACAAAAGUCAUACUUUCAUCCUUACAUUAGAAAAUGAAGUUCAUUGUCAAAGGAAAACAAGUUUGCUUGGAUGGCAAAUAAGACCUACUAGUAACCAAAACCCUAACUACUCCUUAUAUUAAGACUAUCGAAGAGGCACCCGAGUACUUAUUUAAAGCCUUUAAAAUAGUAAGUGCUACGUAUGUUAGAGAAGGGACAAAGAUACUUAUGCCUUAGUUGUCAAAAACCACAAACAUGGUAAUUAAGUAGACCAUCAGCAAAGGCAAGUGAGUUGGACAGAGUUUGGGAGCAUCUUUGCAAGGAAUCAAGAAAACAUUGUCAUAAUUGAAAACAAGUAGUGGUGGAGUUUAGGUUUCAAGCCUACUGCUACAGAUAAAAGAAGGGUGAUGAUGGAAAAGAGAGAGAAGAGAAUGGCACGUCAAAAGGGGUAUGAUUUAGAGAAUAGGGGAAUGGUAUUCCUUUACUUGUAUGAGAUAUUUUGUUCUGGCGAGUACGUCUUUUCUAGAUAAAUAGAAGUGAAAAAAGGGGAAUCAAUUCCUAAAAUAGAGGAGGCUGUCUCUCAUAUUCAAAAUAAAAAAGAUAUGACGUAGAUACAAAAAGAAAAGACAAUCUUUUUUCCUUUUCUAGAAUUAACAGUUUCAAAAUGGUGUUUUGUUGUUGUUGUCUUUUGAACAUCUCAAACCUUAAGUUCCAAUUACUUUUGCCUAAAAACAUGCAGAGUAUACAUGUAUAAGCUUGUUUUUAAUUAUCUCAGCCUAAGUAAUGGCACAAUGCAUUUGUCAUACAUCAUUUUCCCAUUUUUCUUUUCUUGGUUACUUAUAUUCUUUUUACUUUUGCUCGAUUUGCUUGUAUUUCCUUGUGAUUAUACCUAUUUUUAGGUCUUUAAAUAAUGAGCAUUAUGGAUAAACAAGACAAUAAUGCCAUAUUUGAUUUUGAAAAUUCAAUUGACAUUAGUGAGCUUAACAAUAAUGUUGAUUUUAAAAAGUAUAAGUUACCACAUAAAUUGUUAAAGUAGAUGGAACAAGAAAAAAAAAACCCAUAGAGCUUCAUUAGGAAAGUAUAGAUCUAUUGAAUUUGGGAGAUAAAGAGAAUAAAAAGGAAAUCAAAAUUCAUUCUUCACUACUAUUGAUGGAAAAAUAGAAGUUAUUGGGCUUGUUAAAGGAGUAUGUAAACAUAUUUGCAUGGUCCUAUCAAGAUAUACCUGGACUUAGUACAGAUAUUGUGGAAUAUAUAUUACCUCUAAAGCCAAACUACCGACCAGUACAAUAGAAGUUGAGGCAUAUGAAGCUAGAGACGUUGUUGAAAAUAAAAGAAGAAGUGAAAAAGUAGUUGGAUGCGAGUUUUUUGAAAGUAGCUAAAUACCCAAAAUGGGUAGCCAAUAUAGUCUCAAUUUUAAGAAAGAUGAAAAAUGAGAAUGUGUGUGGAUUAUCAGGAUUUAAAUAAGGCUAGUCCAAAAAAUAACUUCCCAUUACCACAUAUUGACACCCUUAUGGAUAAUACUACUCGACUUUUACCUUUCUAUUCAUGGAUGGGUUUUUUGGAUAUAACUAAAUUAAAAUGGCUCAUGAAGAUAUGGAGAAAACCACAUUUAUGAUGAUGUGGGGCACAUUUUGCUACAAAGUCAUGCCUUUUGGGCUUAAGAAUGCCAGUGCUACAUAUCAAAGAGCGAUGGUCACUCUUUUCCAUGAUACGAUACACAAAGAGAUAGAGGUAUACAUAGAUGAUAUGAUAGCAAAGUCUAGGAAAAAAAAAGAUCAUGUAGCUAACCUCAAAAAGCUCUUUGAAAGGUUUUGAAAGUACCAGCUCAAGCUGAAUCCAGCCAAAUAUAAAUUCAAUGCUAAAUUAAGGAAAUUGCUAGAAUUUGUAGUCAAUGAAAGAGGUAUUAAAGUAGACCCUAAUAACAUUCAAGCUAUUCAAAAUUUAACAGCUCCAUACGUACAAAAAAGUUGAUAAGCUUUUUGGGGCGAUUAAAUUAUAUUUCUCGUAUUAUAUCUCAACUUAUUUCAAAGUGUGAUCCAAUCUUUAAGUUGCUACAUAAGAAUAAACAUGGCAGUUGGGAUGAAGAAUAUCAAAGUGCUUUUGAAAAGAUUAAGGAGUAUUUAACAAACUCAUCGGUGUUACUGCUACCCAUUACAGGAAGGCCAUUAAUUUUGUAUUUAACAGUGCAAGAGAAUUCAAUAGGGUGUGUAUUAGUGCAAAAAGAUGAAACUAGCAAGAAAGAAUAUGCUAUUUAUUAGUUGAGCAAAAAGUUUAUAGAGUAUGAAACUAAAUACUUCUAGUUAGAAAAAUUGUGUUCCAUAUUGGUAUAGACUACCCGUAAGCUUAGGCAGUAUAUACUUUAUCAUACAACCUGGAUUAUAUCAAAGUUAGCUCCUCUUAGAUAAAUAUUUGAGUCAUCCCUUUCGGGCAGAAUAACUAGAUGGCAAGUCAUACUUUCGGAGUAAGACAUUGUGAAUGUGUCACAAAAGUCUGUAAAAAGAAGUGCGAUAGUUGAUUUUCUUAUCGAUAAGGCCACAUAAAUUAUGAGCCCAUAAAGUUUGACUUCUUAGAUGAAGAUUUAAUGGCAAUCUUCGAGGAUGAAAAGGGAGAUCCUAUGAAGAAGUUAUGGAAGAUGUUUUUCGAUAGGAUAUCUAAUAUAAUGGGGCAUGACAUUAAGGUACUAUUAAUAUCCUCAUAAGGGAAUAUUAUCCUAGCACUGUAAGGCUAGAUUUUAAUUUCUCAAAUAAUGUAGCUGAAUAUGAAGCAUGUGCUAUGGGAUUACAAAUAGCCAUUGAAAAAAGGAUUGAUGUAUUGGAAGUAUAUAGGGACUCAACCUUGGUGAUCUACCAAUUGAAAGGUGAAUAAGAAACUAAGGACCCGAAAUUGGUGUUAUACCAAAAGCAUAUAGCUAAUUUGAUUAAGCAAUUUAGAGAGAUCUAGUUUCAAUAUAUGCCUCGAAAAAAGAAUCAGAUUGCUAAUGCAUUAGCUAUGUUGACUAUAAUGUUCAAGUUAAAUGCCAAUAUGGGAACCCAACCCAUUAGAGUACAAAUUUGAGAUUAACUGGCCCAUUAUUCAAAUAUGAAGGAAAAAAUAGAUUAUCGACCCUAGUAUCAUGACAAUUUAUAGUACAUUAAAUGUUAAGAAUAUCCUAAGUAGGCUUCAAAUAAUGAUAAGAGGAUAUUCAAAGAUUAUCAGUAGAGUUUGUGCUCCAUGGGAAAAUUUUAUACAAGAAAGGUCAAAUCAAAUAUUGUUGAGAUGUGUAGAUGCUAUGAAAGCAAGAAAGAUACUAGAAGAAGUCUAUGAGUGAAUUUGUAGGACACAUGCCAAUGCACAUAUAAUGGCCAAACAAAUAAUGAAGCUAGGUUAUUACUAGUUUACAUUGGAAAAUGAUUGCAUCAGUUAUGCCAGAAAGUACCACAAGUGCUAGAUUUACAUAGACAAGUUCAUUCCCCUCUAGUCCCUUUGCAUGUGUUAGCACCUCCAUGGUCAUUUUUUAUGAUGAAAAUGGAUGUAAAUGAGCCUAUAACUUCAAAAGCUUCAAAUAGACAUUGAUUCAUCUUCGUAGUAACUGAUUACUUCACCAAAUAGGUGGAAAUAGCCUUUUAUACUAGUGUGUUCCGGUCUAUGGUAUGCAAGUUUAUAAAAAGAGAGACAAUAUACCAUUAUAGGCUCCCAGAAAGAAUUAUUUUUGACAAUACUAGCAACUUGAAUAGCAAAUGAUGAAAGAGAUAUAUGCACAGUUCAAAAUAAUGCAUCACUAUUUAGCAUCGUAUUGCUCAAAGAUGAAUGGUGCGAUAAAGUUUGCAAACAAAAACAUAACAAGAUAUUAGGAAAGAUGACUGACACAUAUAAGGAUUAGUAGGAGAAAUUAUCCUUUACCUUGCUUACCUACAGGACAUUAGUUUGAACUUCAAUAAGGGCCACAUCAUUUUCCUUAGUAUACGGAAUGGAAGAAGUGUUACCGAUUGAUGUGAAAACUUCUUUUCUAAAAGUAAUGAUGGAAAUAAAGUUGGAUGAAGCAGAUUGGAUUCAAGAAUAUUUAGAACAAUUAAACCUCAUAGAAGAGAAAAAGCUUUCGAUACUCUGUCAUAAGCAUAUAUACCAAAAGAAGAUGAUCCAGGGGCAUGACAAAAAGUUAUGACCUCAAUGUUUCAUGAAGAAGAAAUGGUCCUAAAGAAGAAAUGGUCCUAAAGAAGAUUUUGCCAAAUCAACAAGAUAUUAAAAGAAAGUAAGCACCAAAUUGGGAACGCCCCUGUGUAGUGAAGAAAGCAUUUUUAGGAUAAGCCCUAAUCUUAAUAGAAAUAGAUGGGGAUGAAUUGCCAUCUCAGUGAAUUCUAAUGCUAUAAAGAAAUAUUUUGCUUAAAAAAAACCUAAAAAAAAAGCAUUAUAAAAAACUAAAAAAAAAGCAUUAUAAAAAAAAAAGAAAAAAGAAAAAGAUUCAAGCUAAAAACCAAAAAGAGGUAGUUUAAACUAAAAGAAGGUCGUUUAGGUUGAAAAUCUAAUUAGACAGCUUAAACGAAGGAGGAGUUAAUGGGAAAUCUUAUAAAGGCAAAGCGAAAUGGUACAAAGUUAGACUGAUUAGAUAAGAAGAAAAAUCUAGGGCAAGUUUUUGUUAGCUACGAGUCAUAAGGCAAGGAUUAAUUAUAAGAGUUCAAAUUUAGCAAGAUCACUUAUGUAAUGAGUUUCUAAGAAAAGAUCUAGUUUGAAUUGACUUGGCUUGUCGAAUGUUCAUUAGCUAAAGAAAUGAUAUUUGAAUUCCUUAAAUACCCUUUUAAGUUUUUCGGUGUAUUUCAAUAGCCUUAUCUUUUCCUUUCCAAACCAAAAUAAAUUUCUCGUUAGAUCCAUAUUCCACUUUUGAACUUUGAAAUCAUUACAUUUGUCACAAGAGGUUAGGAUAAUUAUUGAUAAUGCUCAUAGCAAACUUGCGUGUUACUUAAAAAAAGAUGAAUGGAAGACAAUAGCGCAAAAAGGAAAGGAUUAAUUGAUUGGAAGGAUGGAUGACCAAAGAAAGAAUUUGGAAAAAAUUCAUAGAUAAGUAGAAGUCAUAGAAGGCAUUUAUAAAAAUUCAAUACAUCAAAAAAGAAGAAAAGGAAAUAAGAUGGAAAUUUUGGGAUAGCCUUUAAAGUUUUGAAAGAGCUGAGCUUGUCUUACACUUAGAAUUAAUAAGAUCAAGAAACAUAUGGCAUAAAUUAUUGAUUGCAUUUUUACAUUCAUAUUGUCUCAUUCGUCUUUUAUUUCUGACUUGCGAUGUUAUCUCGGUCGAUCGUUAUUUCUACCUUGUGGUGUUCUUCUGGUCAUUCGUUAUUUCAGACUUACAAUGUUAUCUUAAUCAUCCUUUAUUGUAGUCAUUAUUUAUUUUUGACUUAUGGUGUUGUCCUAAUCAUCCUUUAUUUCUAACUUGUGAUGUUGUUCCAGUCAUUCAUUAUUUCUAACUUGUGAUAUUGUCUCAGACAUUCCCUAUUUUUUACUUGUGAUGUUGUCCUAGUCAUUCAUUAUUUUUGACUUGUGGUGUUAUCUUGGUCAUCCUUUAUUUUAAACUUGUGGUGUUGUCUCGAUCAUCCUUUAGUUUUGGCUUUUGGUAUUGUCUCAAUCAUUCAUUAUUUUCUAACUUGCGAUGUUGUCCCGGUAGUUUGUUACCUUUGACUUGCAAUGUUGUUUCAAUUAUCCUUUAUUAUUUGAUUCACGGUGUUGUCCCAGCCAUUCGUUAUUUUUUACUUGCAAUGUUAUCCCUGUCAUUCAUUAUUUCUAACUUGUGGUGUUGUCCCGAUCGUCUUUUAUUUUUUGAUUUGUGAUGUUGUCUUGGCCAUUCUUUAUUUUUUUAUUUGCAAUAUUGUCUUCGUCGUUCUUUAUUUUUAACAAAAACAAACAAACAAACAAACACAAACAAACAAAAAAGGGGUUUUUGAAGGUAAUAUCCGAACAAAAUUAUUAUCUAUGUUUUGGCAUUAUUCCUGAUUCUAAAAAAUAUACAAAUAGGGGUAGCUUAGACACUUAAUUUUGUUCCGGUACUUUUCCUUUUGAUCCAGGCUUACUUUUGUAAUUGGGCUUGAUCUUCAUUUUUCAAGCCCGGUAUACGACCCAUUUUCAAAAUACUCCAUAUAAAACCCAAAAUGAUCUGAUAAAGGCCCAUUCAUAAAAAGCCCGUCAAUGGUCAUAAUAAUAAUAAUAAUAAUAAUAAAUUAAAAAAUUAAAAAAAAUAAAAAAUUGAAAUUAUAAAUUAUAAAUUAUACAUUAUAAAAUAAUUAAUAACUAAUAAUAUAAAAAAUUAAAAAUUAAAAUAUAAUAAAAUAAUAAUAAUAAUGCAUAAUAAUACAUAAUAAAUAAUAAAAAAUAUAUAAAAGUGGACCAUAAAAUAAAACUCAAAGCCCACGAGUGGAAGGUUGUUUUCAAAGCCCAAGAUAUGUAAAAGGGAAUGGCUUGUUCGGUCGAGCCUGUUGAAUGCAAAUCAUGUAAAAAACGUGGCUGGAAUCCACAUGCAAAAACAUGCAAAAAUGCCAUGGAACGUGAAAAGGAGGCUAAAUAAAUAAAACUGAAAAGAUGGUGGUCAGGAAACCUGGGGAAGUGAGAACGUGAAGAAAAAACGAGAAGUGAAUUAAAAGGAAAGCAUGUAGAAAGGGUACUGGCUGGGAGGGUAAAGCAAAAGGAAAAUAUAGAGGGAAAGGGGGAGAAAUGAAAACAACUGGCGGUUUAGAAAAAGGAGAUUGGAAACCACGAAACACAAACGGUGCAGCAAAAAUUAAAAAAAAAAAAAGACAAAAAACGAGCAGAAGAAAGCAACCAAAAAAGGCUGAACAGAAGAGAAAUAAAGCAGGAAAGCUGACGGCAGUUGACGAGAGGCAGUGGCAUCCAAAACUGGGCCUGUGGCGUGGAAGCAAAGAAGGCAGCAGUAACAAGCAAAACGGAAACCAGAAAGCAGAAUAGAAAAAACUGGGCAGCAAGGCAGCACCGGUAGCAAUCAGUGGUAGGAGGAAAAGACAAAAGAAGAGAGGAGCAGGAAAAAUAAAAAAAAAAACAAGCGUGGGUAGCAGAAAAGAAGAAACCAACAAAGAACUAAAGCAGAAAAGAGACAAAUUGUGGCGGAGGCUUGGAGCUUCAUUUUUUUACUUUAUGUUAUUUUAUUUUUCUAGUUCUUAUGGCGUGAUAUUUGGUCUUGGAGCUUCACUUUUUAGUUUAUUUUAUUUUAUUUUGCUAGUCAUUAUAGCAUGAGAUUUGGUUGCAGAGGCCCAAAGUUACAACAUUUUCAUGGUUUCUGAUUUCUUCCGUCUGCAUGUAGUCUUUAUACAAGACCAUAAAGCUUUAACAUCUUUGUGCAUACUGUUAGUUCUGUUUAAACUCAAAGCUUUGGGUUUUUCAUGCUUGCUGGGUCGGAUGCAUGUUAAGCUGUUGUUUAUGCUUCAAAUCUCAUCCACUUUUCUGUAAUUUGCGGUUUUCUUUUCCUUUCUCUAUGUAUGAGUUGAUUAAAUAUUGAAAAAAGGUUUUUUAAAAUAAUAAUAAUAAUAAUAAUUUUUUAAAAUAAAAUAAUAUAUAAUAAAAGUAAUUGCUUUGAAUCCCUACCUAGGUGUUAGGUGUUGGAGGAAAUUUUUAAAUUAAGUUUUUAAAAAAUAAUAACAAUAAUAAUUCUACUUAGGAGUUAGAGAAUUAUUAAAUAAAAUAAGAAUGUAAUAACAAAAGAUUAAUAAAUAAUAAUAUAAUAAAUUUUAAUGGAAAGGAAUAUACAAAACAUAAAAAUUAAUUUUUAGAAAUUAUUAAAAAUGUGCCUCUUCCAAAAAAAUAUAACAAUUAGUUUUUUAGAAAUUAUUAAAAACAAGCUUCUUCCGAAUAUAUAUAUAUAUAUAAGAAUUAAUUUUUGAAAAUCGUAAAAAACAAAUUUACUUUAAAAGUCUGCUUAGAUAUUGAAGAUUUUUAUAAAAGUUCUCAAAUUUUUAAAAUCCUAAAUUGAAACUAAAAUUAAAACCCUAAACUUAAAACUUUAAAUUGAAACCAUAAAAUUAAAACCCUAAAAGAAACCUGAAACUUUAUGACCCUAAACCUAUCUAAAAUGUCAAACUUCUUUUAAAUUUUUAAAAAUUUGUAUGAAAACCUUUAUGAAAUAAUCUGUUCUUGAGUACCACCUAAAUGAUGAGAUAUUUAGGAAAUUGGGAUUUUUCUAAGAAUUUUUGUACAUUUUGGCAACUUAAAAUAAAUUCGUUUUGUAACAAUAAUAAAUAUAAAAUAUAAAAUAAUAAAAAUAAUAAGACGAGAUUUUAAGUAUAAAAAGUUACACCCAAAUUUUGCCUAGAUGUUGCAGAGUUCAGGUGAUUUUUUUAUAUUUGACAACUCGAUUUCUAAAUUCACAUUUUAUCCUCAUUUGCAUACAUCUCAUUUUUUUUUUAGAUUAAUGUGUACAUUCAUACUACAUAUACAUGUUUAUUCUAUUCAUUAAUAUGAAAAUUAUAUCAUUUUCAUUUUUUUACUACAUAAAAAGUUUAUUAAAAAAAGUUUUAAACAAAUAAAAUUAAAAUAGCAUUCCAUGAAAUAUAAGUGUUGGUACUUUACCUAAAUGUUGGAGAAUUACCAAUCAUUAUCAUUUAUGAAAAAUGCUAUUUUGUUAUUUUUAAAAGGAAUGUUGUGAUAUAUUUUCAAUGAAAAUAUUAUCUUUGAAUUCUACCUUUAAGUCAGAGAAUUUGAAAAUAUUUCUUUAAUUAAAAUUUUUGAAUAUUGCUAAACAAAGUUUUUUGUUCAUUAAUUUUCUUUUUAAAAAUAAAAGGAAUUAUAAUUAAAUUUCGUAUCAGAAUCAUUUUUAUCCUAAAUUAUAAAUAGCACAUGAUUAAUAGAUACCAAUUUAAUGGGUGUUAUAAGGGUGCUAAUCCUUUCCCAUAUGAAACUAACUCCCAAACUCGAUUCUAUUUUUGUAGACAAAAACUAUUUUUUUAAUAAAGCUUUAAACCAUUUUUAUUAUUUUAUUAAAAAGAUAAAAUUUUUGGAUGGCCAAUCACACCCUAACAAAGAUUGGUGGUGACUUUUUGUGUUUUUUCACGAUCUUAAAUUUUUACGUCUAGCAAUUGAGUAUCAGGACCAAUACAUUAUGACAAUGAUGAUAAGUGAAAUUGUUGAAAUGGAUGCUUUUAUGGUUAAGUGGUGUGCUUGGAUUGGUCCAUUUCUGUCAUUCAUGCCAUGUUGUCCAUGCCAUAUCACUUGCAUUUGAAUUUGAAAAGAAAGAGGGAAAAAGAUUUGACUAAUUUGAAUUUUUCUCCUUGAUCUCUUAAACUCUUUUACUAGCUCUCAAACUCUUUUUGAAUUAAAUCUUGACUUGCUCUUGCAUCAAUGGGCAAACCUAGCUUGCAUGGUGAAGUAAGAUUCUUUUUAAAUUUUGAAAUGGCUUUUCUCUUGAAGGAAGCUUCUUCCUUCCUCAUUCCACGCAUCGGCUCACUUUAUGGAGCUUAUAAGACCGAUCCCUUAAGUGGGCUUUAGGUCUUGGCUGAAUUUUGUUGUUACCUUUGCAUGGGUUGCAUGGUUUUCAUUCAUGGUCGAAUGCUUCAAGGCAUUUGAGAACUUGGAUGGGCAGUUGCACAAGCAGGCUUUCUAGGUCUUUGGCCAAAUGCUAGUCCAUCACCUUUGUAUAGUUUUUGAAUUUCAUGUAAGGCAUGUAGGCUUUCAAGCAUUUUUGGUCCAAAUAUGCUUAGAAUGUCUAAAUUCUUCACAACAUAUAAAACAAGAAUUUAAGCAUAUUAUCGAUAAAAUAGUAGGUAUUAAAGAUCACUAAAAAUUUUAAAAUUUUGGGUAAAAGUGACUAUGGAAAAACCCUAGUUUUUAUAGUUAUCUAUUUUCAAAAUUGAAUCCCGAAUUAUUGUAACUAUUGUCUGAACAUUCACUAAUUAGGAAUGGAAAAUGGGUAAAGAAAUGAAAGGGUUUGUGAAAGCAAGCAUAAAAGAAGAGAAUGUAAUGAAAUGCAUUUUCUAUUUUAUUAAAAUGAAAGAUAAAAUAUCAACACUUAAAAGACCUCAUAAUGUUCAUGACAUCUUAAAAAUGACUAGCAACUAAAAAAAUCUUCUUAGAAUUAUGCCCUUAUAUAGUUAGGCAAAAGAUUUUCAACAACACUCAACCUUCAUUUAUCAUCAAAAUUUAGCAAACUAGCCAUGAUGAGACCUUGUACCUACUACAUCUAUCACAAGUGUAUGGAUUACACAAGUAAUACAAAUUGAAAGUACUUCAAACAUUGUCUCUUCAGAGAUAGGGUGUUCUAGUCUAAGGAUAAAUACCAAUUUUAACACUUUAGGUAUACCUCAUCCUAAUAAAAUUUUUAAUCUAAUUAUCUUAAAUUAAUCUAAAAAUUUACCAAAUAGUUAAACCUAACUGAACUACCAAUUAUGAAGAGGAAAGCACUAAAUGGAAAGUUACUAAAAGUGGCAGUUACUGAAAAUAAUAAGUUACUAAAAAUAAAAAGCUACAAAUCUUAUAAUUAAACAAAGCAAAUGUAAAAGCAUGAAUUAAAAUUGCAAUUAAAGAGAAGAGGGUUGGAAAACAAAACUUGAAAGCAACAAAUUCAAAUGGAAAUUUAACUUAACAAAAAUACCAAAAAAUAAUGUUAGCUUUUACUUGAAAAUUGACCUAAUUGAACUACUAACCUAAAAUAUCAUGCAUGAAAUGUCUAAAAUCAAAAUUAAGCAUGAAAAUGAGAUGGGAAUGCACUAAAUAUUGAUAUAAAGCUACCUAAAAGCUAAGCUAUAAAAUUGAAAAUUAAAUGACACAAAUUUUUAGUUAGGCAUUUUGUCGAACACCUAACGCACUAAACUCUAAUCCCUAAAAUAACAAGCCUAAAUCCUAAUCCAUGCAACCAAAACUAAAUUUAAGAUAUUUUAAAUGAAAUUGAUAUAAAAAAAAUGCUAGACAUGUCAUGACAAGUGAGCCUGAGAACCCAACUGUAGGACUUGUUUAAUGGUAAAAACGGAAGGCUAAAAACCAUUUUCAAUAAAAACCAAAAGAAUGAGUCACCAUUAAUCUUUUUUAGGAUGUGAUUGGCCACUUAAUUUUUUUCCUUUUAAUAAAAUAUUUAAAACGGGUUUAAAUUUUUAUAAAAGAACAUUUUGUGUUCUAUAAAAACAAAGUUGGGUCUGGGAGUCAGUUACGUUUAAAGAAAGAUUAGCACCCCCAUAGCACCCGUCAAAGAUGGUAUCAAUUGAUUGAAUGUUAUCUUUAAAUUUUUUACAAAAAAAAGUCCUAUUUUUAAUAUUUAGAAGUUAAUUCCUUAAUUUAUUCCAAAACUUGAAUUUUUUUCUUUUCUUUUAAAAGCAAAUCAAAUUUUUUUUCUUUUGGAAACAAAGUAAUUUAUUUUUGGAUCAAGAUAAAAAUGUCUUAGGUAUCGAGACACCUCUUUCACUCGCCAUAUUUAGGAAGAGCUUCAAAAACAUCUUUAAUUUAAAGGUUUUCAAAUUGCCUUGCAAAAUCGAGACAACACCUCGCAUAAAUGAUAACCAUCGAGAGUCAUUUUAUAUUUGGCCAAAUCUCGAAGGUUAUUUUUACUUAAGAUGUCAUAUUAUUUAACAAUAUUGUUCUUUGAAAACUCAUUUUUGAAAACAUAUGCAUGGUAUGUAUGAACGUGAUAAUAAUACGGAUGCAUUAGGGUUUGAGGGUUUUUAGGGUUUAGGGUAGGUUUAAGGUCUAGGUUAAGGAGUGGGGAUCAAUUUAGGGUUUGGGAUUAGAGUUUAAGGUUUUUGGUUUAGGGUCUAGGGUUUGGAUGGUGGUCUAGGGUUUGGAUGAUGGUUUAAGGUUUGGAUGGUGGUUUAAGGUUUGGAAUGAUAGUUGGGGUUCAAAUAGUGGUUUAGGGUUUGGGUGCUGGUUUAAGGUUAAGAAUGGUGCUUUAGGGUUUAAAUGGUUGUUUAGGGUUUGGAUGGUGGUUUAUAGUAUGGAACAGUGGGUUGGGGCUUCAUAGAAAAUACAUGUGAUAAAAAUAAAUAACGAGAAUAUCAUUAGUAAAAAUGUGAAUAUUAAUGCAUGGAAAAUACAUGACUAUAGAACAAACUUAUUACAAAUUAUGGUUUUUUUUAAACUAUAUUACAAACUAAAUAUACAUGCAACAAUAUGAUUAAAAUGGAUCAAACACUAAAAUUUUAAAAUUUUCAAGACAUGUUCCACCGUUUUUUUUAUUUUGGAAUUCAUACAAAUAGACACAAAAUCACCGAAAAGUCUACUAAACUAACAUUUUAUUCAUUGAAAACUUGAUCCAAAAACCAAGGAAAUUUGCAAAACAUACCAAAAAUAUAAGCAAACACACAUGACACAAACAACUUUUAGCCACCAUGCAAGAAAGGGAGGCUCGGCCAAAGCAUGGGCAGCUUGGCUGAACACUCCAUUUGGCUUCCACAAUCAUGCUUUUAUUUCAUUUAGUUUAAUCAUGCAUUAAACAUCAAAGUAUUCAUCAUAUGAAAGCAUUUUUAUCAUAAGAAGAAUUUCAUCAAACAUGUAAAAACUAACAAAUAAGGAAACCAUAAAAAUAAGAACAUUAGCCAAAUAGUAUAUGUAAACUACCAAAAUAAUCACCAAACAUGCAUUAAUCAUACUAUACAUCACUCCAAUCAUCCAUUAACAUUACUUAAAGCAAGAAAAACAAUCAAAAGAGACUAAAAUGAGGUUCAGCCAUUGUGGAAUAAGGUAGGAUCGAACCUCCAAUAGCCAAGACAAUGGUGGUUAGUUUUUUUGUUGCUUGAAUCCUUUUAAUUUCAAACACAAUUGAUUAGUUGGUUGACAAUUUAGAUGAAGCUUGUAUUUAACAAGAUAAAUAACUAUGAACUUUCAUAAAAAAAUAAAUAAAUAAAAUGAUAAACAGUAUUAAAACUAUGACAAUGGUAUGAAAAUGCUAUAGAAUGCAAAUGAUGAAAGUAAUGGAAAUUAUACCUCUUCAAAGCUUUUCCAAAUUUUGUUCCUUUAUUUUUUUUCCUUUUCCCCAUUAUUUUCAUGUUCAAUCCCCAACUACCUCCUUCCGAAAAAAAAAAAACCCUUUUUCCUUCCAGCCUUUAAGAAUGAAUUUAUAAGCCAUGCAAAAUUCAUGCAACACUUCAAUUGAUUUUCCAUCUAAUGGCCAUCUUUCUCCCUUGUUGCAAGAAAGCACCUUUCACCAUUAAAUUCAGCCUCUCAAGAUCAUCCUACAGUUCAGCAUGCUCAUGGCCAAAAGUUGCAUUUUUAAUGCUGCUUGAACCAUAUGAAAAGAACAUUUAUCCCCCACAAAAAAGUUUUCAAAUUUUUUUUAAUUUUCUUGGAGUAAUACGAUCCCUUUUUCAUUUUUAUAAUUUAAAAGCAUAAAAAAUCUUCAAAUAAUAUGAAAUUAUGAUCUAAAAAUUUUUAUGAAAGAUUGACCUUAGGAAAGUCAAAUUACAAAAUUUUUUCUUACAGGCAUUUUAGUAAUUUUACAACUUUCACUAUGCGAUCAAACUUUUUAAUGCACUAAAAAUUAUUAAAUAAUAUGUAAACAUGAUCUAAAAUUUUUCACAAAAAACCAUCCUCGAAAAGGUUAAAUUUCAAAAUACCUAUUAGGGUUUUGUUUUUUAAUUUUACAAUUUUCAAGGUGCGAUUAAGGUUUUUAAUGCAUUAAAAAUCAUAAAAUAAAAUAAAACCAUGACCUAGAGCGUUUGGCAAAAAAUCGACUUCGAGAAGAUCAAAUUAUGAAAAUACCCUUGCUAUUUUCAUAAUUUCACACCUUCAGGGUGUCAUCAAGGUUUUUGAUGCAUAAAAAAUCAUGAAAUAUUAUAAAAUCAUGAUUUACAACUGUCUUCAUAAAUCCAACUUUGAGAAAGUCAAAUUUACCAAAAUACCCCUAAAGGCAUUUCUAUAAUUUUACCCUUCACAAAGUACAAUCAAGGCUUUCAAUGUGUUAAAAUAAAAAAAAAAUUUAAGCCCUAUUAGUCCUAUGUGGUUUCGAUUUUUGAAAAAUAGACCCAAGUCCAAUCCGAUUUCACUGGUUUUGACUAGUUCUGAUCAAGUUUGACUUUGUUUGACUAGGUUGGACCAAGUUUGACCUGGGACAUUUUGGGUCAAAUUAGUCCUAAAUCGAUUUUGAAUACUUGUCAAAAUUAAAGAACUUUGGAUUUGAAUUAGGUUGGUUUUAAGAAGCUUCAAGUUGGCUGAAUUUUACUCAAAAAAAUAUGGUGUUUAUAACUACCUCUUUUUGCGUAUUUCUUAAAAUAAAAAAUAAUGCAAAAACCAAAGACAUCAAUUUUGUCUAAUACUAUGAUUGAAAAGAGUGAUUGCUUGCUUUUUUUUUUUUUUGAAAGUUUUGAAAACUAAAGGCUAAAAAAUUUUAAAAAUCUCAUUUAAAAACGCUCUUCUAAACAUAGGUAGAAAACUUUAAAAAUCUCGUUUUGAAAAAGGCUUAUAUAAACAUAGGUAGAGAACUUUUAAAAAUUUCAUGUUGAAAAAGGCUCUUAUAAACAUAAAUAGAGAACUUUAAAAAUCUCACUUUGAAAAAGACUUUUAUAAACAUAGGAAACUUUAAAAAUAUCUUUUUAAAAAGGCUCUUGUAAACAUAGGUAGGGAAUUUUAAAAAUCUCACUUUGAAAAAAGGCUCCUAUAAACAUAGGCAAGAAACUUUAAAAAUCUCAUUUUAGAAAAGGUUUUUAUAAAGAUAAGUAGAGAACUUUAAAAAUCUCACUUUAAAAAAAGAUUCUACAAGCAUCAAUAAAAAACUUUAAAAAUCUCAUGUUAAAAAAGGGCUCUUAUAAACAUAGGCAAGGAACUUUAAAAAUCUUGCUUUGAAAAAGGUAUUACAAAUUUCAUCUUUGAAAGCCUCAUCCUUGAAAUUUUUGGUUGCAUCUGAGGUCUUAAAAAAGGAUAUCUUUUCUUUAAACAUUGUUUCUUCUCUUUAGAUUUUUCUUGAAAGGUAUUCAUUUUUUUAUGGUGUGUUUGUUUUUCCAAAAUCAAAUUCAUUGUUUUUCCAAAAUCAAAUUCAUUCUUCAUACAAUGAAGGUAAUGAAUGCAAGGCAAACAGUGCAUGUGAUUCAAACAAUUUUGUUCACAUCAUGAAGGGAAUUAUGUAUCAUUAUCAGAGUUAAAGUAGCAAAAUUUUAAAAAAUUUUAAUUCUCUAAAGCCAAGAUCAAUCGAUAAGAUUAUACAAACAAACAACUUAAGAAACAUGCAUAGUUUCUGACUUAAGUGCGUACCUUGGAUACCGAAAUUCUUUUGGCUCAACUUGGUGAUCUUCCAAAUAGAUUCCAAGCCAAGAAGCAGCCCAAAUGUUCAGCUUCUAAUGGUAAUCCACUCAAACUCUUAUGAAAGAACCUUCUAUAAGGUUUGGUGAAAUCAAAGCCACACUAUAGCUAGUAAUUGUUUGUAAGACCUCUUGUAUUUUCUUAAGUGAAACUUACUUUCUUAUUAUUUGUCUUUAAUAAGAGGUGACUUGAUGUUCUUUUUAUAGGGGAUGCAUUUGGCCAUAUUAGAUUUAAUGUUUGGAAUACACGUUUCCACAAUUAACCCUAUGCUAUAGUGUGUGACUCAUUAGGUUUUUAGCAUGUUGGCAAUAAACACAAGUAUUGUAAGCCUUAGUACUUAGCUAUGGAUGAAGCAAACUUUUUGUCUUCAUCACCAAUUCUCUAAUUAACCAAUCUUAUGUUUAUAGAUCAUGAUCAAUGCUAACUUCAGUGCAAUGAACCCUGAUUGCCAAAAAAAAAUCUAUAUGGCUUAACAAUCUAUUUUGAAUGGUCUUGGUGUACAAUUAAUAUCCUUUCAUCACAUAAUAUUUUGGUUGAAUAUUGAGUAUGGUUUAGUGUCUACUCAAUCUUGUUCAAUCAUGUUUAGUCUUGUCCUUCACAUUAACUCACAAAUAAGCUUUACAACAAUUCUAAACUCUUAUUUCACUUUGGCCAAAGAUUUGUCAAGAUAAUUCAAACAAGAUUAGUUAAGAUACUAUUUUGAUCACUCAAGGUGAUGAAUCUCAUAUUGAUUACUUCAUGCAUCUUCAUAUGCCUCAUGUUAUACCCAACAAUAGUUGAUUGAAGUAUUCUUGGUUAGAACCAUAACUAAAGUAAAGUCAAAGUAUAACAUUCAUCAUAUAACAUCACAAGUAAUUUCAAGUCAAAGGAUCAUUUAUACAACCAUCACAUAAAAAUAUAGCUAUAGACACUAUGUGAACUACCAUAUAGCAUUCUUAUAUUGGGCCAUGUUCAGUGAACUUAUUCUUGUUAAAAGCACUCAAAUAUUAGCUCAAUCAUGUUUAGUCUUGUCCUUGACAUUAACUCGCAUAUAAGCUUUAGAACAAUUCUAAACUCUUAUUUCACUUUGGCUAAAUAUUUCUAAAGUUAAUUCAAUUAGGACUAGUUAAAAUACUCUCUUGAUCAUACAAGGUGAUGAAUCCCAUAUUGAUUACUUCAUACAUCUUCAUAUGCCUCAUGUUAUACCCAACAACAUUUGACUAAAGCAUUCUUGAUUAGAACUAUAAGUAAAGUAAAGUAAAGUUAAAGUAUAACAUUCAUCAUAGAAGACAUAAGUAAUCUCAAGUCAAAGGAUCACUUAUAUAACCAUUAUACAAUAAUGUAGCUAUAGACACUACAUGAACUACCAUAUAGCAUACUCAUAGCGAGUCAUGUUCAGUGAACUUAUUCUUGUAACAAGCACCCACAUGUUAGCUCAAGUUCAUCCAACCUUUAAAUAAUAAGAUCGGUUGCUUGCCUCAUAAGCAAUAGCAUAACCAUGUGCUAAUCUUAAUAUAAUAGCUUUAGUCAAUGUCCUCUUGUUGAUAAAACACUGACUUGGAACAAUUUUGGAACAUAUAACUUUUAUGCAAUGAUGAUCCCAUAAUUAUAAUCUCAUUGUAAUUCUCUUACAAAGCUUUAUUUAUAUUCUGAAGACUUUAUCAUAUAACCAUAAACAUUGAAAUACAUGUAUACAAGUUUAAUGAUAAAGAAAUAAGAUCUUUAUAAGAUAUCAAAUAUCAAAGUACUACAAAUAUGACAAUACUUUGGCCAAAAUAUGAUUAAACUUGAAAGGCAAAUAUCGACAAUCUCCCAUUUGCACUAAAGCUAAUAAUUCAUGUAUCUAAUACUAUAUUUGAUUACAUGCUUAUCAUGUUUCUAAUUGAAAAUAGCUUUAGAAAGAGGAUCAACAAUCCUCAGUAGGUACUUAUUCAAUUUUAAAAUCACCUCUAGAAACAAAAUCUCUAAUAAGAUGGUAUCCCCUUAAUACAUGUUUGGAUUUUUCAUGAGACCUCAGUUCCUUGGCUUGAGCAGUAGCUCCAUUGUUGUCAUAAUAAACUACUAUUGAAUCAACAAUGCUACAAACAAUCUUUAGUUCAAUUAUGAACUUCUUGAUCUAAAUGGCCUUUUUUGUAGCCUCAUAAUGCAAAGCUGUAUUUGGUUUCGAAUGUUAAGUUUGCAGUUGUACUUUGUUUGAAACUUUUCUAACUCAUUGCUCCACCAUUUAGAGUAAAACCAUAGCCAUUUUGAUACUUGCUAUCAUCCUUAUUAGAUUGAAAGUUUGCAUCACAAUAGCCCUCAAUAAGGAGUUCGACCCCACCAUAGACAAGAAACAUAUCCUUAGUUCUUAUCAAGUACUUAAGGAUUGUUUUCGUGACCAUCCAAUUACAUUCACCUAGAUUUGGUUUAUAUCUAUUUGUUAUGCUUAAAGUACAUGAGAUAUAAAGCCUUGUACAUAUUAUCGCAUACAUAAUGAAGCCAAUUGCUAAAGCAUAUGGAACUUUAUUCAUGCUAUCUUUCUCAAUUUAUGUUUUAGGACACAUGUCCUUGGAAAAAUUUAUGCCAAGUGAGAUAAGAAAGAAUCCCCUUUUGGAUUCUUUCAUGCUAAACCAUUUUAGCACUUUGUCUAUGUAUCCAAAUUGUGAGAGACUAAGCAACCUCUUUGAUCUAUCUCUACAGAUCCUUACGCCUAACACUUAUGUUAUUUCUCCCAAAUGCUUUAUGAAAAACUUUUUUUAUAACCAAAUCUUGGUAGAUUACAGCAUGGGUAUAUCAUUUCCUAAAAGCAAUAUGUUAUCCACAUACAACACUAUGAAAAUGAUUCCACUUCUACUUGUCUUCUAAUAUACACAAGGUUCAUCUACAUUUUUUAUGAAUCCAAAUUCUAUAAUUGCUUUAUCAAAAUGUAUAUUCCAACUCCUUGAUGCUUGCUUAAGUCCAUAGAUAGCCCUUUGAAGCUUACACACAAUUUUGGCAUUCUUUUUGGAUUCAAAACCUUCAGGUUGUGUCAACCACACAUCCCCUUGGAAACAACCAUUAAUGAAUGUUGUUUUGACAUCCAUUUGUCACAUCUCAUAUUCAUGGUAUGCGGUAAUAACGAAUGGAUUUUAAUGUGGCUACUAGUGAAAAGGUAUCAUUAAAAUCAACUUUUUAUUUUUUAUUAUAACCUUUUGCAACUAGCCUGGCUUUGUACGAUUAUACGUUGCCAUCCAUGACAAUUUUCUUAUUGAAAACUCACUUGCACCCUAUGGGUUUUAUCCUUUCAAAUGGUUCCACCAAAGUCAAUACUUGAUUUGCAAACAUGGAUUCCAUUUUGAAUUUCUUAGCCUCAUGCCAUUUUUUAGAAUCAAUGUCCAACAUUGCUUUUUGAUAGUUAGUAAAAUCAUCAUCUAUGAUCAACUCAUCCUUGUCCACAAGAAAUCCAUAUCUCUUAGUAGCUUGGCAAAUCCUACUUGACUUAUGUACUUUGAGCUCUUGGUUGCACAUCUAAUGCCUUAGCCAUUGGCUAAAGUUCUAUCCUUGUGUCAAUUUAUGUUUCUUGAAUUUUUUCAAGCUCUACUUUACUCCCACUAUUCUCUUCAACGAUAAACUCUUUUUCCAAGAAAACAACAUGUUUAGAAACAAACAUAUUUUGUUCCUUAGAGUUGUAGAAAUAAUAUCCAAUAGUUUCCUUUGUAUAUUCCAUAAAUUUACACUGCACUAAUCUGGCUCUAAGCUUAUUGACUGUGCAUGCUUCACAUAAGCAUCACAUUUCAAAAUCUUUAUGUGUGACAAGUUAGGUCUUUUACCUUCCCACUUAUCUUAUGGUAUCUUGUCAAAAAGAUUUAGAUGGAACUAUAUUUAGAAAAUAAGCAACUGUUUUAAAUGCAUAACCCUAGAAGGAUAUAGGAAGAUUUGAGUUGCUUAUCAUGGAUUGAAGCAUGUCCAACAAGGUUCUAUUUCUCCUUUUGAAAACUCAAUUAUCUUGUGGUGUUCUAAGUGCAGUCCAUUAUGAGAGAAUCCCAUUCUUUUUUAGAUAACUUAGAAAGUCAUGGUUUAAGUAUUCACAACCUUGAUCAAAUCUAAGUGUCAUAAUACUUUUACCAGUUUUCUUUCAACCUCCAUUCUAAAUUAUUUGAACUUUUCAAAGAUUCAGACUUAUGUUUCAUUAAAUGCAUAUAACUAUAUCUUGUACAAUCAUCAAUGACUGUAAUGAAAUAAGCUUCUCGAACAUUUAUGUUCAUUAAACCACAUACAUUCGAAUGUAUUGGUCUAAGAACCACACUAGCUCUUUCUCUUUUUCAAGUAAAAGGUGAUUUGGUCAUCUUUUCAAGCAAACAUGAUUCAUAAUCAAAAGGAACAAAGUAUCCUUAUGUAACAUUAUGAUUCUUGUUUCAUUAAUGUGACCGAGCCUAUAAUGCCACAAGUAAGAUUGAUUCAGUUUAUCUAGUUUAGUUUUCUGAACAUUUAUAUCGAGAACAUCAUUAUUUAAUCUAAGAACAUAUUAGACAUUAUCAUGCAUUCUCAUGCCAUAAAACACAUCAUUUAAAUAAAAGGAACAAUAAUUUCCUUUAAUAUUAAAUGAGUAUCCAUCAUUCAUACUUAAAUAAGAAACUGAAAUAAUGUUUUGAGUUAUGAUAGGAACAUAAUUAUAAUCCAUUAGUUCUAAAACUAAACUAGAAGGUAAAGGUAAAUAGCAAGCCCCACGGUAUAAGCAACAACAUUUGUGGCAUUUUCAACAUGCAAUGACUCCUCUCCCUUUUUUAAGCAUAUACUCCUCUUUACUCCUUAUAUGUUAUUACAUAAGUGAGAACUACAUUUGUUAUCCAAUACCUAAGAAGAUGUGUCAAGAAGAGAUAAAUUGAUCUUAAUCAUAAAUAUACUUAAAGUAGAAGUCACUUUAGAUUUCUUCUCCUUCAAGCUUGCUAGGUAGACAUUGCAAUUCCUCUUCUAGCGACCUUCUUUACCACAUUGAUGACAUGUAUCCUUGUCCUUCUUGAUGUUGCUAGCAAGCUUGAUAGCCUUGCUUACAUCCUCUUUCUUAUCAACUUUCUCACUUUUCUUCUUCUUGGCUGACUUUUUCUUAGCCUUAGAUGAAAAACCUAGAACAACCUCAAGCUUUUGAUUCUUAAUGGAUUUUUUGACAGUGUCAAGCAUAUUCAUCAAUUGUGGUAAUGUUACUUCACAUAUGAUGUAUAUUGAAGUUCAUUACAAAUUGUCAAAAGCUACUGGAAAAAGAUGAGAAGAUCUAAUCAAUACUUAACUCAAGAUCAAUCACAAACUCCAAUUGUCUAAGUUUCUCAAUCCAAUUGAUCAUUUUGAGAUAAUGCACUUUGAUCAAAGUGCUCUCAGACAUCAUUGUUCGAAAUAAUUCCUUAAAGGUCUCAAACCUCUCAGUUCGCCCUUUUUUGUCAAACAACUCUUUAAAGUGCAAAAUGAUUAUCAAAGCAUUCAUGUUCUCAUAUUGUUUUUGCAACUCAUGGGUCAUUCUAGCUUCCAUGAUACAUGUACCUUGAUUAGCAUGGUCUUCAGGCAUUUUAUACACUUGUCACACGGUAUCAUUAGCAUUAGUGUCUGGUUUCGAUGAAACCAUUUCAUUACGAACAUAAAGCAUAAUCUUUUGCCUAAGGAUAAGUUUUAGAUUAUGGUACCAAUCAUUGAAGUUAGGCCUUGUGAGCUUGUUAGCAUCAAGUAUGCUACAAAAUGACAAGUUAUUACUCAUUUCGCAACCUAUAAAAUAUGAACAAAUACCAGCAUAUUAUUUAAUACCAAUAUAGAUAAGGUUUAAAUCUAUAUAUUGGUUGCUGUCACUAUUUUAAUCAAAACAAUAGCCCUCAAUUUCAAUUUAGGAAAUCAUACUUUUCUAGUGGGCUUCGAUAGCAUUUAGUUUACCAUAACCUUGAGGUUUGUCUCAAUAAGCCAUGAUAAGUAAACUAGGUAGAUAACUUGCUUAUCAAUCACAAUCUCAUUUGACUCCUAGAUCAAUUAGGUGUGCCAUAACGUAUUGAUCUAAAGACUCUAUCGUUGGACAUAAAAAUUUAAAAUCGUGAAAACAUCAAGAGUCACCACCAAUCUCUUUUAGAGUGUGAUUGGCCACCCAAAAAUUUUAUCUUUUUAAUAAAAUAGGUUUAGAGCUUUAUUAAAAAGGCGGUAUUGGUUUAUGAAAACAAGAUUGGGCUUGAAAGUCAAUUACGUGCAAGAAAGAAUUAGCACUCCCAUAGCACCUACAAAAUUGAUACCAAUUAAAUAUGCGUUAUCAUUGGUUUUGGAAAUAAAUGGUUUCAUUUUAAGACUUAAAAAUAAUUCCCUCUAAUUUUAAUAAAUAUAAUUAAUUUAAAGAAAACUUUAUUUAAGAGUAUUAUGAAAAUUUUAGAUUAAAAAAAUAAAUUCAAAUUCGUCGACAUAAAGGCAAAUUUGAAAGAUAGCCUUUCAUCUAAAAUUUAUCACAACAUUUCUUUCAAAAAUAUUAAAAUAAUACUCUUUGUAAAUUAUAAUCAUUUAUUACUCUCCAACAUCUAGGCAUAGUACUAACAAUCAUAUUUCACAUCAUGCUAUUUUAAUUAUAUUUUCUCAAAACUAAAAAUUUUAAAGAAAAAUUUUUUACGCAGUAAAAACAAAAAAAAUAAUAUAAUUAAUAUUACACAUCAACAAACAUAUAUAUGAAUUAUGAACGUACACAUUAUUCUAGAUAUGAUAUAUAUGCAGAUGAUGGUAAUAUAUGAAUUUAAGAAUCAGGCUCUCAAAUAUAAAGAGACCACAUGGACUCUCUAAUAUCUAGGUAGAGUUUGAGUGUGACUAUUUAUAUUUAAAAUCUUAUUUUAUUGUCUUAUUGUUUUAUUGUUUUACUAUUUAUUAUUUAUUAUUAUUUAUUUAUUUGUAUUAUUAUUUUAAUUAUAGAAUCAUAUGAACAAUUCAAAAGGAAAUAAAAUUUAUUAAACAUCUCAUCACUUAGGCGGUGUUCGAGAACAAAUUAUUUCAUAAAAAGUUUUCAUAUAAAUCUUUAAAAGUUUAGGAUUUUUUAGAACUUCAAGAGUUUAGGGCCUAGGAUUUUAAUUUGGGGUUUCACUUAGGGUUUAAGGUUUCACCUAGGGUUUAAGGUUUUGCCUUGGGUUUAGAAUUUUACUAUGGGUUUCACUUUAGAGUCUCGCAUUAGGGUCUCAAUUUUAGGAUCUCAAAUUUUGCCUAGGGUUUAGUUUUAGGGUUUCAUAUUAGGGUUUUGUUUAUGAUUGUAUUUUAGGGUUUCAAAAAUUUACAAAUUGCUCUAACAAUCUCCAACACCUACGCAAACUUUCGGAGUAAGCUCGUUUUUCAUAAUUUUCUAAAAAAUAAAUUUUUAUAUUUUAAAAAUAUUAUUAUUAUUUAUCUUUUAUUAUUUAAAUAUUUAAUAAUUUCUAAAUAUCUAGGCGAAAUUAUUAAUUUUUAAAACAUGAUUUUUAAUUCUCUCUAACAUUUAGGCAAGAAUUUUUUAAAAAAUUUUAUUAUUAUUUUUGUAUUAUUAUGUUCUAGAAUUUUUUUUAAAUGCAAAUAACUAUUAAAAUGCAUAAACAUGAUCAAAGAUAAUAUGAGCAUGUCACUUAGUAAUUUAAUAGCUAUGUAAAGCCAUAAAACAAGUCCAUACAAUGCACCGUGUUUUAACAAAAGCAUAGCACUAGACUAAUUUCAAUAUCUGAAUUGCUUCUCAUGAACCAUGGAUGACAAGCCUAAAUUGAUUGGAAAGCAAAAAUUAAAACCGAAAAUCUAUGCCCCUACCCUACCUUUUGUUGAGUUUAUUAUUAUUAUUAUUAUUAUUAUUUAAACGUUCAAUCCAUGCCUACAUAUCCCAACCGAUUAUAUAUAGCAAAACCAGUAUAUAUAUAUAUAUAUAUAUAUAUAAAAAAAAAAAAAACAAAUGGGACAUAAAGCAAGAGCUUUUAAGAACAAACAAGGACGCUGGGGGCUUGAAAAUUCUCCCAAACUAACAAGACAGAAAGCUAUGACAAUAAAGAGAUUCUUUUUCCUGUCCACCUACUUCAUACAAAUGAACCAGGACUGAGAAAGAAAAGAAAAAAACAACGUAAAAAAGCAGUUUUUUUAAGUUCCUGUAAACAAAAUUAUCGCAGUGACAAUGGGCAGACAGAGCCUGGUUUUCCAAUAUGUUGAAGAAACUCUCGGCUGGGGGGCUCCAUAGACGUUGGAACAAGGUUGAAAAUCUCUCUUUUCUGCAGGAGGCGCCUUGUAGGUUUGCCUCUGUUUUCUAUUUUUCCAAUCAAAAAUUUCAUCUCAUUUAUACCAAGCGUAAGGAAGAACUAUGAAGUUCUUUUGAGACUCAACUAUCGUUAAAAAAAAAAAAAAAAAAAAAAAAAAAAAAAGGUACCCACGCACAAGAAGAAAAGCAAUGGAAUGGAAGGAAGCAAUUUUCAGGUUUUCAUGAAAGGAAAAAAAGUUACAGAGUGCUACCUUUCCUUCUGGUUUUUCUUCCUCUCUGUAUCCCUUUUGCUCAAAAUGCUUCUUCCCUUCUUUUCGUGUUCAAUUUUUUCUUUUCACGCCCAUGCACUUGUUUUCCUAGUUUUUUCUUUUUGUUUUUUGCUUCACGUUUUGGUCUGCUACUCGCUGCUCCAGUGCUAGUGUUUCUAGUUUCCUUUUUCUCGUUCAGCUUUGGUGCCACCUCUCUUCUGCUUCACGCCCUUCCUCUCUUUUCCACGCCUUCAGCGCAUGAAAACAUUUUUCUUUUGCCGCUUUUUUCUUUCCAGUUUUUCUGGUAUCACAUCUUCUGUUUCAGCACGUUUCUUCUCUCUUCUGCUGUCUGCCUGCUGCUGGAUUUUUUUUUUUGCCACCUUCCUCCUUUUUUCUUUUUGUUUUCUUUGGUUCCCUAGUUUUGCCCGUAUGCUUCUCCUUUUCCUGCUCGUGUUUGCUUCGCAAGGCCCUUUCCCUUCUGCGUUCCUUAGUUUUCUUCGCAGCCUCCGUUCCUUUCUCCCAUUUUCUUUUUUUUUUUGCUUACCUCUCCUUCCUUCUUUUCCUCGGUUUUCUUUGCAGCCCCCGUUCCUUUCUCCCUACUCUUUUCCAUGUUUUUCUGCUCGUCUCUUUUUAUUUUCACCAUUCCGUUUUUCUUUCUUUUAUUUUUUAUUUCCCUUUCCCUUUCCCUUUCCCCGCACACAUGCACUUUUUCUUUGUUUGUAGGCAACCGCUUCCCACGUUCCAUGCCAUUUCCUUCACAUUUUCCCCUGUUUUUUCUUUCAUGGCAUGCACGGCAUGGCCAUUUCACGUGCUAGGUCUUUCUUUUGUUUAUUGUUUCCUUAUUAUAUAUAUAUAUAUAUAUAUAUAUAUAUAUUUAUUUAUUUAUUUAUAUAAUAUAUAUAAAUAUUUUGGACUUCACCUUGAUUACGGGCUUUCAAAAAGUUUUGUUUUAUUUUAACCUCAAUUGGCCCUCACAAUUUCAUUUUAGGCCAAGUUAUUUUUUAUUUUUUAUAUUUAUAUUUAUAUUUAAUAUUAUUGUAUUUAUAUCUUAUAUUUUAUUUUUUUAUUUUUUUAUUUUUUAUUUUUUAUUUUUAUAUUAUUUUUAUUUUGUUUAAUGGCCAAGAAUGGGUCGCUAAUGGGCUUUCAUAAAUACGGGCCUUUAUUGGGCCACUUUGAAUAUUAUUCGAGUUAUAAAACAGGCCCUGCCAUGUGGCCCUUAUUAGGCCUCAUCACUUGAGCAUUUAAAAUUGGACCAUUAGUGGACCUAAAAAAUUGAUAAUUGAAACCCAAUUGCAAAAUCAAACCCGGGUUAGAGUAAAAUAUUUCGGAUCAAAUUAGGAGUCUAUAACUAUCCUUUUUAUAUAUUUCUGAGGAUCAUGAAUAAUACAAAGACAUAAACAAUAAUUUUAUCCGGAUAGUCCAGAUACUUCUCCUUUUAUUUUUUUUAAUUUUUUUGUUUUUUGGUUUUUUUUGUUUUUCGGUUUUUUUGUUUUUUUUUGUUUGCUUUUUUUUUAGAACAAUCGGGACAACACCGUAAGUUGGGUAAUAAAGAAUAAUCGAGAUAAUACCGUAAGUCAAGUAAUAAUGAACGAUCGGGAUAACAUCACAAGGCAAAAAAUAAAGAAUGACCAAGACAACACCACAAGUUCGAAAUAAAGAUGAUCGAAACAAAAUUGUAAGUUAAAAUGAAGAUUAACCGUGACAAAAUCAUAGGUUAAAAUCACAAAUGACUGGGACAACAUUGCAAGUCAAGUAAUAGUAAAAGACCAAGACACCACCACAAGUCAAAAAUAAAAGAGAUCGGGACAACAUCGUAAGUCAGAAAUAACGAAUGACCAAGACAACACUACAAGUGAGAAAUAAAAGAUUACCAAGACAACAUCACAAGUUAGAAAUAAACAUCAUAAAUAUAGGAUGACCAAACAAUACCAUAGGUUAAAAAUAAAAGACGACUAAGACAAUACCUUAGGUCAAAAAAAUGAUUGAGACAACACCACAAGUCAAAAAUAAAAGAACGAUUGGGACAAUUCCAUAAGUCAAAAAUAAAAGACGACCAAGAUAACACUGCAAGUUAGAAAUAAAGGAUGAUUAAGACAAAAUUUUCAUUGGUGCUACUUAGACUAGGCUUAAAUUUUCUUUGGUGCCAACUACACGAGCUUAAAUCUUUUCAUGAGGUGCCAACUAAGUUGGGCUUAAAUGUUCAUUGGAGCUAGCUAAUCUAGGCUUAAAUUCUCAUUGAGUGCUAACUAAAGUGGGUUUAAAUCUUUCAUUGGAUGCCAACUAAACUGGGCUUAAAUUUUUAUUGGUGCCAGUUAAUACUGGGCUUAAAACUUGGGUGCCAACUAAAUAGGGCUUAAAUUUUUUCAUGAUAUGCCAGCUAAACUAGGCUAAAAUGUUUCUUUGAUACCAGUCAAACUAGGCUUAAAUCUUUCAUUAAUACCAGUCAAACUGGCUAAAUCUUUCUAUAAUGUGCCAACUAAACUAGGCUUAAAUCUUUCAUUGAUACCAGUUAAACUAGGCUUAAAACUUGGGUGCCAACUAAACUGAGCCUAAAUUUUUUAUGAUGUGCCAACAAAACUAGGCUUAAAUUCUUUCAUGAGGUGCCAACUAAACUGGGCUUACAAUAUGGGUGACAGCUAAACUGGGCUUAAAUCUUUCAUGAUGUGCCAAUAAAACUAGGCUUAAAUUCUUUCAUGGGGUGCCAACUAAAUUAGGCUUAUAUCUUUUCAUGAGUGCCAACUAAACUAAGCUUAAAUUUUCUUAAUGUCAGCCAAACUAGGCUUAAAUCUUUUCAUGAUAUGCCAACUAAACUAAGCUUAAGUUUUUCUUAAUGUCAGCCAAACAAGGCUUAAAUCUUUUCAUGAUGUGCCAGAUAAACUGGGCUUAAAUUUUCUUUGGUGCCAAACAAACUAGGCUUAAAUUUUUUCAUAAGGUACCAAAUAAACUUAGCUUAAAUUUUCAUUAGUGCCAACAAAAAUGGGCUUAAAUUCUUUCAUAAGAUGCCAACUAAACUAGGCUUACAUCUUUUCAUGAGUGCUAGCUAAACUAGAUUUAAACUUUCAUUGGGUGCCAACUAAACUAGGCUUAAAUUCUCGAGGAUUGGUGACCCCUAUCAGAAAUGAAAGAGGUGAACAUUUUCGUUUAAACUAGAUUAAAUAGUUUAGCACAUUAAGAUUUUUUGUUCAUUCAAAAAGGGUUUCUCCACCUGAAGAGGAUAAAAAAGUCAUAUACUUUUUCCAUGUAAGCUCACAGAUGAAAUAUAAGUUUUCCUAAAACAUGAAUCCCUUAAAUACCAAACAUAUUCAACAUUUUCUUUAGCAUUCAAAUGUGGUAUUUUGAUAUAUGUCAAGAUUAGCUAUAAGGGUUUGAGAUUUUGAAAGGUUAUUUGGGUAUGGGAAAAGGCUGAGAUUUUUGAAAUCAGUCAUUCUCAAACUUCUUGGACCUUGAUAUUUUAGAUCUUUUAAAAAGGUUUAGCUUAUCUUUGUUUAGCAUCUACCACAUUUAGCAUUAGAAUUAGCCUUCAAGAUUUGCUCUAGAUUGCCAUUUUUCAGGAUUUUCACGCUAGAGCCACAUUUAUAUUUUUGUUUUUUUUUUUUUCUUUUUUAUCACUAUACCAUGUAUUUAAGAAUUCAAACUUAAUUAAAUGGAGUUAAUGGUCCAAACAAAAAAUUAGGUAAUAAAGAGGGACCAAAAGGUUUAAAGAUUUCAUGGCCAUUUUCUUAAAAAAAACUCUUCAAUUUUUAAGCAUUCAUGUUUGAUCCAAUAUGGACUUUUCAUGGGAUGUAACAUAGGCUAAUGUUUGGGGUUGUCAAAAGAAAAGGAUAAAAAGGCCCAAAACAAGUAUUUAAGGGUAAUUAAAACCAAGGAUCAAACUCAUUUGAAGGAUACACUCUGAGGUAUAUUCCCUUGCAUUCUCUUAUGCUUUCCACCCAUUCCUUUCCUUUUUUUUCUUCUCUUUCAUUUCCUUAUUUUCUUCAUUUUUCAUUCUUUCACUGAGUGGAUUCAAAACUUUUAAAAAUUUUUAUAUUAGGCCUUUGCCCUAACAUAUGGGAUUCUAUUGGGACAUCACUAUUCUUAACCCUUAAAUACAUCUCUUUUUGCCUCCAGUAUGAAAGAUGAUUCUUAAUUUGGAUUUAUUUUAAAAGAAAAUUAAUUAAGCUUAAUGGGGUAGGAAAGGAUAAAUUUCUACAUUUGUGAAGGGAUAAUAAAAGACGAUCAUUUGUCAUUUCAAGUAUGAUCACUUAAAUUGAAGAGCAGUUCCUUUUUGGGAAAAUGAAUUUGAAAAAAGUAUUUCAUUUCAGAAGUUUUUUCUUUUUGACGCUAUUGGUUUUCUUGACUUUAUUUUAUAGCCUUUUCAACUUAGGCUUUUGUUUUUGCCUUUCUUUUCUCUAAAAUUUUUGGAUUUGUCAAGACUUUAUUUGGAUUCAUUCAAACUUCUUAAGUGCAUGAUGUAAUAACUAUUUUUCUUUUCUUUUUUUUUUUGUUUUUUCUCCUUUUUUUUUGGAAUAACCCCCUAAAUUCAUUUUGCUAGUAAUGCGUUUUAGGGAAAAUGCCCCAUUUUGGCAAACCAUCCUUAAUAGAAGUUAUUAGAAGAAAAAGAUUAUAUCGAAUGAAUGAGAAAGGGUCACAUGGAAUGAACUCAUUUAAGGUAUCAAAUAGUCCAUAUCACUUUACCAAAAAGAGAACAAUAGGUUGAUUAUAAUUCAUGUUGUCUUAAGAGCAAUGAGGUCUUUCUGCUCUGAUCCACAUGCUCACAAGACACAUGGGCCAAGCCCAAUUUUGGGGUAAAUAGUUGAAAGGUUGAUAAAUAUGAGGUUAUUUUAUAGGACUUGGGUUGGCUUUGAUUUUGAAAGAUUUUUGGAUCUAUAGUGUAACAUUAAACAUCAAAUUACCACAUAUGAAUCCUUAAAAGAAUAUGUUAGCCUGCUCUUCUAGAAAUUCAAAUUUCCUUUUUUCUUUUUUAAUUAGAUGUUUCAUUGUUCAUUGCCUUGGAAAAGAAUAUCAUCAUUUAACAUUAUAACAUUAUCAGGUGAGGACAAGGUUCACAAAUUCAAAUUCAAGCCUUUUGAAGAGUGAUGGCUGAUGAAUAAGAUCAACUAAAUGACUUAAGAAAAAGUGUUUAAGUAUUUGACAAAUUUCUAAUAGUGAUGCCAACUCUUCCAUGACUCAAAACUUUCUUUUUUGUCAUUUUCUUUUUCUAGUGUUUUUAGGGUAUAUAUAUAUAUAUUUAUAACCUUGGGACCUAACUAUGUGCGGCUUUACUCAAAUCUAACAUUUUCUCCCUUUUUACCAAUUACAAGUCCAAAAUUUAAUAGAAAUCGAAAAUAUCAAAUGAUGAUAUAAAUCUAUGAAACACACAUGAAGCACAAGAUCUAUUUAUGCAAUGCAAACACUCAAAAUCUCACAUUCCUAAUAGUACUCUUGUAAAAACAUUCAAACUUAAGAUCGAAGGUUCCCUACUUAGUGCUUUAGCUUUAGAAUUAUUGCCUCUCAAUCUUGCCAGCUUUAAUCACAUUCUCAAUCAUUUCCCCAAAAACCACCAUAUUGCAAAAAUUCUUUAUAGCAUUUCCCAUAAUUUUGUCAUAAUAUGAGGCCUUUAACAUACUAAUAAAUAGCACUGUAACUUUUUUUUUCGUUAACGGUGGAUGGACUUGAGCCGCUGCAUCUCUCCAACAAUGCGUACACUCCUUAAAGCUUUCUGUUAACUUUUUUUCCUUAUUCUACAAAGAUAACCUAUUCAGAACAAUAUCAAUAACAUGCUUAUAUUGAGCCAAGAAAGCUUUAGCUAAAUCUUUCUAUGCAUGGAUCCAACUUCGAUCUAAUUAAACAUACCAUUUUGCUACUGAUCUAGUUAAACUAUCUUGAAAAUAAUGUUUCAAAAGCUUGUCAUUGUGAGUAUGACUUGCCAUUUUACAACAAAACAUCGUAACAUGAGCAGAAGGACAUGUAGUUCCAAUGAACUUUUUAAAAUUGAAAACCUUGAAUCUUGUUGGUAUAACCAAACCAUGCACCAAACUGAGCUUAUUUGCAUUCAUAUUCCUAAAGGUGGCAUUCCCUUCCACGACUCUUAGUCUUUCUUCUAGCAGUUCACAUUUAUUUUUAAUCUCUACACUCAUUACUAGCACAUAUAUGCCAUAUAGCUUUUUUGGUUCAACAGGAUCAUUGAAAUUUAGUAUACUGAUAGGAUCGAUCGGACCCAAUCUUGGAUUGAUUUUCACAUGCACCUGAGGUUGACUAACAGAAGGUCCAGCACUAAUGUAAAGCUAGAGUUGACUAAUAGAAGAUCCAACAAAAGUGAAAGGGUGUGUGGUUGGUGGCUGUAAAUGGAUUCCUUAGGAAGUAUGAACUUGAGGUGGAGUGAAUCCCAAAAGAUAUGUUGACUCCUCUAUAUUAAUCCCAUCUCCUAAUCCCUGUGUGCUAGCAACUUCUUUGCCUUUUAGGGGGCUAGUUAAUAAUUAUCUUAACUCAAACAUCUGUGCCUUGAUAUUCAAUUAUAUUUCCAUCACUCUCUCUUUUAUCUCCUAUUGUGCCUUCUAGACCCUCUCAAACCUAGUUGAAUUACCUUCUUCCAUAACUCGAGAAUUAGAGCAGGUAUUAUACGUGUGAAACUAUUUAAGCUGACUUCUUUGAGUUUGUUAUCCUUGAAACUCUCUUUAUUUGUCAUGAAUUAGAAUGCAUGGUAUAAUCAUCAUUGUUAUUACUAUUAUUAGUAUCAUUAUUAUUAUUAAUUUGCUUUUAUUAAUUUACAUGUAUGCAAUGAAUGUAAUGUAAUGCAAAUUGCUUUGGAUUAAUCUAAGUAAAAAGAAACAAUCAUUAACCAUAGAAAUCUCUACACAUCAACCAAUCAUCCAUGUAUGAAAACCACAAAAACACCUAAUUUGAGCAUAAUGCUCCCUAGCUUCACAAAAGAAACUCAAUAAGCGUUGAUUGCAAUGCUAAGUCAAAAUGACCUCUCACUCAAGUUUUUCAGCUCUCUCCACCAUUUUAUUGCCUUUCUGCACCGUAUUGUAGAUCUAUGAAGUCAAGUGCUUUAUGCACUGUUGCCUUCCUAGGCUAUCCACUCUCCACAUUUUCCAAGCUUCCACUUCCAUGUUAUAGGUAUAAGCCUAAUAAUCCUCCUUCUCUUGCCAUUCAAUCAAAAUCUUAUCUAUGCAAUUCUAAUUGUUAACCAACUAAAUUUCCAAGCUCAUUAGCUCAUGUUCCAAAAGCUUUUUUCUCUUUUACAAAUCAAAACUCCUAUUCUGUUCUCCUUUCAAUCUGGCCCUUAGCUUUUCGUUUUCCUAUUGGCACUUGGCUACCUUUGUAAAGACUCUAAAAAGUUUAUCUUUCCAUGUUUGCAGUUUUUUGGUGAGUAUAGAGAUCACUCUUUUAUUUUCUCAAGCUUUACUCUUUCAAUAUUCCACCAUCUUUCUUAAUUCUUCCACAUCCUUCUUAGAUCCCUUUGAAGGUCUGAUGUCCAUCCUCAAUCUCUUAUUCUCUUGGUGAAGAUCUUGUAAAUCUCUUUUCAACACCUUUCGCUCCUUGGUCAACUUUUAUAAGGCAUCAUCUUUCAUCAUCAAAUCAUACAUCAACUAGUUGACUUGAUUUAUCAUUGUCAUCUUUUCUUUCCCUAUCUUCUUUCUUUUCAUCUUAAACUCUCACUGAGUGAUCUUAAGAGUCGACAAUAUCGACUCUAAAGUAAAAGUGGGCAACUAAUUUGAAACAUCCACUAGCAAGGGCCUAACUUCAUUGACUCUUUUCAUUCUCCAUGCAAGGUACCCUUCCAUAACAUUAUCUGCAUAUUUGGCUAGGUUCAUCCGAUUAAUUAGCUUUUAUGCCUUGAUGACCUCUUGGACCUUUUUCAUAUAACCAAAUGCCCUAUAGUCAAACUUGAGCAAACUAAGUCCAUAAGUCAUAAAGAUGAAUUCAUGAAAAUCCUAUUACUUUUAAACCAUGAGAGGUGCACAACUCACUGACCCCUAUAUCCCUAGCAAUGGUACCCAUGACUCAUCUCUACAAUUGUACAAAAUGGUUGUUGGAAGCAUCCAAGGCAUACUCCAUGUUACAUCUUCACUAGUAAGCUUUAGAAACAAUGACAUCCAUUGCCUUUUCUCCAAUCCCUCUACCAUUUCUUGGUGAUAAACUCUUGAUGGGAACGAAAUGAAUGGAGAAAAGCUGAAAUGAUAUCUUUCUUUUUCUCCAAAAAUGACCUCUAAGCUAAACAAAAAGCAACUGAGCAUAUCCUUUGAAUCAUUACUCACCCUUCAUUCGAUAGAAGUUAAGCGAUCUAAUGGUCUUCGCUAAAAUAGUCGAUGAAGGAUUUAUACCUUUAUCCAAUUGCUCAAAGAAAUCAACCAUUGAUGCUUCUACAUAUCCUAAAACCUUAGGGAAUAUCAUCAAACCAUAUACGACCAAAGCAAAUCAGUCUAAUCCCUAAUCAUUAUCAAGAUGCUUCAUUAUAUGCUUUAACAAGAAGGUCGAUGGAAUGGUCUCGACCUAAUUCUUUUCCUUCUUAUGCUUGUCAAUCUCUUUAAACCCUAUUUGCAAAAUCUUAGCUAACUUAUUUGUAUAUCCGGUAGUCUUUUGCUCUUUUCAAUAAAUAUUAUCUUAAUUGGCAAACUCUAUCCAGAGUAAAGAUGAACAUUCUUCAAUUAUGAGGGCCAAGUCUUGUUGCUUAAACAUGAAAUACCGAUAAGAUGGAUCCUAAAAUUGUAUCGUAACCCUAACUAGUUCCUCAUCAAUCUUUAUUGAUAGAAGCAAUGCCAUAUCCCCAUAUUUCCUCAAAAAAUAAUCUUUCUUUUCUACUCCCCACUGUCACCAUAUGGUUUCCAAUUCGACUAUAUCAUUUUAACUCAAAUCCAUGUGCACUAACUGUGGAAGUGUAGAAACGUAACUGACCUCUAAACAAUCUCUUUGUUUUUCUUGGGUGCUUUUUAAUUGGCUUUUGACUUCCAAAUAAUUCCUGUUGGAGGCUAAUGCUACUGAUGGCUUCGUGAGUACUUCUUCUACUAUUGAUUGACCCAAAACAAAUACCCCUCUUCAGAUGUAAUAUUUAUAUGAUGUAUGCAACAAAAUUAAAAGUUAUACAAAUAAAAGAAAUUAAAGAUCCAAACAAACAAAUAAUAACAAUAACAAAACAAUCAUAUUAUACAACAAAAAUAAUAAAAUAUAUAUAGUAUCCUAAUCUUUGGUAAUUUUCUAAAACAGGUGGCAUAGCUCUACCCUAGGCAGGCUUCCUAUGGCUUAUGAUAUGCUAGGUUGGGAUUUACUUGUCUAAAAGUUCCCAAAUCAACCUUACACCUUUAUCUAUUACAGACUAAUAAGGUAAAUGAAUCCCUCAUACAUUACAGGCUACAAACGAAAAGGGUUCAAUCUGAGUCAAAAUGUUUCACUAGCAAAUGAAAAGGUCAUCACCUCACAAGAUAAUUGCUACUUUAUUCCUCUUAAUAAGGACAGAGCCCAAGUCUAGAGCUUAUGCAUGUAAGUGAGUAUGCAAAAGUGUGCAGAGUGACAUAUUAAACAAAACAACAUAAAUAAAUCACAAACACAAUAUCAAAACAAGGUAAUAACUAACAUACAACUUAUUUUGUUUAUUAACUUAUACAUUUUUUUGAAAAAUUAAAAUAAGGGGAAUUAAAAUAAAUAUCCAACUAAACCAAUUAAAUCCAAAAUUUUGAAUAUGCAUAAUUAUGAUUUUUGGCCUAACUCUCUUCAUAUCCCCAGUGGAGUAGCCAAGUUAUCAUACAGUAUCGGUCCAGAGACUCGAUCACUAGACUUAAAAAUUUUAAAUCAUGAAAACAUAGGGAGUCAUCACUAAUUUUUUUUAAGGUGUUAUUGGCUACCCAAAAAUUUUACCAUUUUAAUAAAACUGGUUUAGAACUUUAUUAAAAUGACAAUUUUAGUCUACAAAAAUAAGAUUGGGCUCAAAAGUUGGUUAUGUGCAAGGAAGGAUUUGUACCCCUACAACGCUCACAAAAUUGGUACCAAUUAAAUAUGCGCUAUCAUUCGUUUUGGAUUAAAAUGGUUUCAUUUUAAGACUUAAUAAUAAUUCCCUCUAUUUUUAAGAAAUAUGAUUAAUUUAAAGAAAACUUUAUUUAGGAGUAUUAUGAAAUUUUUAGAUUAAAGAAAUAUCUUCAAAUUCCCAGACAUAAAGGUAGAAUUGAAAGAUAGCUUUUUCAUCCAAAAUUUAUUGCAACAACCCUUUUAAAAAUAAUAAAAUAACACUCUUUGUAAAUGAUAAUCAUUAAUGACUCUCCAACAUCUAGGUAAAGUAUCAACAAUUAUAUUUCACAUAAUAUUAUUUUAAUUUUAUUUCCUCAAAACUAAAAGUUUUAAAGAAACAAUUUUUACCUAGUAAAAAUGAAAAAAUAAUAUAAUUAAUAUUACACAUCCACAAACAUAUAUAUGAAUUAUGAAUGUACACAUUAUUCUAGAAAUGAGAUAUAUGCAGAUGAUGGUAAAAUAUGAAUUUAAAAAUUGAGCUUUCAAAUAUAAAGAGAUCGUUUAGACUCUCCAACAUCUAGGUAGAGUUUGGGUGUAAUUAUUUAUAUUUAAAAUCUUGUUUUAUUAUUUUAUUAGUUAUUUCUUAUUCAUUAUUUUUUAUUAUUAUUUUAAUUACAGAAUGAUUUGAACAAUCCAUAAAGAAAUAAAAUUUCCUAAAUACCCGAUCACUUAGGAAGUGUUGGGAACAAAUUAUUUCAUAAAAGGUUUUCAUACAAAUCUUUAAAAUUUUAGGAUUUUUUAGAGCUUUGGGAUUUUAGGGCUUACGUUUUUCAUUUAGGGUUUCAACUAGGGCUUUCGGGUUUUGCCAAGGGUUUAGAAUUUUACUUUGGGUUUUACUUUAGGGUUUCACAUUAGGGUCUCACUUAGGGUUCAAUUUAAGGUUCUGCAUUAGGGUCUUGAUUUUAGGAUCUCGGAUUUUACCUAGGGUUUAGUUUUAGGGUUUCAUACUAGCGUUUUGGUUAGGAUUGUAUUUUAGCAUUCCAAAAAUUUAUAAACUUCUCUAACAAUCUCCAACAUUUAAGCACACUUUUAGAGUCAACUCGUUUUUCAUAAUUUUCUAAAAAAUAAAUUUUUAUAUUUUAAAAAUUUUAUUACUAUUAUUAUUAUUAUUAUUUAUCUUUUGUUAUUUAAAUACUUAAUAAUUCCCCAACACCUAAGUGAAAUUAUUAAUUUUUAAACAUAAUUUUUAAUUCCCUCUAACAUCUAAACAAGGAUUUUUUUAAAAAAUUUUAUUAUUAUUUUUUCAUUAUUAUGUUCUACAAAUCUUUUUAAAUGUAAAUAGCAAUUAAAAUACAGAAACAUGAUCAAAGAUAAUAUGAACAAGUCACUUAAUAACUUAAUAGCUAUGUAAAGCCAUAAAACAAGUCCAUACAAUGCACCGUGUUUUCACAAAAGCAUAGCACUAGACUAAUUUCAAUAUCUGAAUUGCUUCUCAUGAACCACAGAUAACAGCCUAAAUUGAUUGCAAAACAAAAAUCAAAAUCGAAAAUCUAUGGCCCUGCCCUACCUUUUAUUGAGUUUAUUAUUAUUAUUUUUUUAAAAAAAUCAACCCAUGCAUACAUAUCCCAACCGAAUAAAUAUAGCAAACUAGUAUAUAAAAAAACAAAUAGGACAUAAAGCAAGAGUUUUUAAGAACAAACAAGGAUGCUGGGGGUUUGAAAAUUCUCUCAAACUAACAAGAUAGUAAGCCAUGACAAUAAAGAGAUUCUUUUUCCUAUCCACCUACUUCAUAUAAAUGAACUAGGACUAAGAAAGAAAAGAAAAAACACAACCAAAAAGGUAAUUCUUUAAUUUUCUAUAAACAAAAUUAUGGCUAUGACAAUGAGCAUACACAGCAUGGUUUUCCAAUAUGUAGAAGAAACUAUUAGGUGGGGGGCUCUAUAGAUGUUAGAACAAGGUUAAAAAUCUCUCUUUUUUGCAAGAGGCGCCUUCUAUGUUUGCCUCUAUUUUCUAUUUUUCCAAACAAAAUUUUCAUCUCAUUUUAUGCCAAUCGUGGGGAAGAACUAUGAAGUUCAUGUGAGACUCCUCUAUCAUAAAAAAAAAAAAAAUCAAUGGAAUGGAAGCAAGCAAAUUUUAGCUUUUCAUGAAAAUAAAAAAAAAAUUACAAAGUGUUAUCUUUCCUUCUAGUUGUUUCUCUUUCUCUCUAUAUCCUUUUUGCCCAAAAUGCUUCUUCCUUUCUUUUCGUGUUCAAUUUUUUUUUUCAUGUCUAUGCACUUUUUUUUUUGCUUCACAUUUUAGUCUACUACUCGCACCUCCAAUGCUUGUGUUUCUAGUUCUCUUUUUCUAGUUCAGUUUUGACACCACCUCUCUUCUGCUUCACACUCUUCCUUUCUUUUCCAUAUCUACAGUGCAUGAAAACAUUUUUCUUUUGCUACUUUCUUUCUUCCAGUUUUUUUAUCUCACAUCUUCUAUUUUGGCAUGUUUUUUCUCACUUCUGUUAUCUGUCUGCUGUUGUUUUUUUUUUGCAACCUUUUUCCUUUUUUUUUUAUUUUCUUUUGUUCCUUAGUUUUGGCCAUAUGCUUCUCCUUUUCUUGCUAGUGUUUGCUUCACAAACCCUUUUUUUUUUCUAUGUUUCUUUACUUUCUACUAGUAGGGCUUAUUAAGACAAAACUCAAGGCACUCAUUAUUCAAAAUAAGGUUGUGUUUUGGUUAAUGGGUCUUACUUAACUAUCAUUGUAUUAUUUGGAUGCAAAAAACUUGACCAUAUAAAGAUAGAGGUAAUGAUUGGGCAAAUCACAUAAGAUGUAAUUAGAUAAGGAGUUGUCACCCUAUAGACACCUAAUUUUGUCUAGAAUAUUUUAUCACUUUAACCCGAAUUUGAUUUCACAAUUGGGUUUUGUUCAUCAAUUUUUUAGGUCUAUUAACAGUCCAUUUUUAAAUGCUUAAAGAUGAGGCCUAAUAAGAGCCCCAUGGCAAGGCCUAUUGUAUAAGCUUGAAUAAUACUUAAAGUGGCACUAAAAAUGGGCCCAAUAAAGGCCUAUAUUUAUGAAAGCCCAUUAGCGGCCCAUUGUUGGCCAUUAAACAAAAUAAUAAUAACAUAAAAAAUAAUAAUAAUAAUAUAAAAUAUAAAAAUAAUAAUAUUAAAAAUAAAUAUAAAGAUAAAAUAAUAAAAAAUAGCUUAACCUAAAAUUAAAUUGUAAGGGCCAUUUGAGGUUAAAAAUAAAACAAAACUUUUUGAAUGCCCAUAAUCAAGAUGAAGCCCAAAAUAUAUAAAUAUAUAUAAUACGGAAACAAUAAACAAAAGAAAGAGCUAACACGUGCAAUGGUCAUGCUAUGCAUGCCAUGAAAGAAAAAAAUAGGGAAAAACAUUAAGGAAAUGGCAUGGAAUGUGGGAAGUAGUUGCCUAAAAACAAAGGAAAAAUUGCAUAUGUGUAAGGAAGGGGAAAUGGAAAUAAAAAAAAAAGAAAAACGGAAUGCUAAAAAAAGAAAAAAAAAAGAGAAGCAAAUUAAUGGAAGGCAUCAAGACUUAAUAUUUUUCAUGAGGGAUUUUUGAUUCAUCAUAGGUCUCAUCAAGCAUGCACAAGAAUUCAUCAUAUAUCCAAUAUAUGUAAUCUUAUCAUCCAUCUCAUAAUUAUACAUGGCAUUUAUCAUAUAUAAAUUCUAGCAUGUAUAAUAAUAAAUCAAUAUAGCACUUAUGGUAUUUAUCUCAUAACUAACAUGUAUACUAUAACAAUCAUCCGAUUUAGUUCAAAUUUAUGAUCUUGAACAUCUAUUCUUUCAAUCAAUAUCAAUAUCAUACAUCAAUUAUCAAUCCAACUUAACGUGAUGCAAGACAAAGACAUGUUUAGCUAGCAUGGCCAAAUAUGUCUAACUACUAUAUUAGGAACAUGUAAUUUGCAAUCAUAAUCUCCUAAUCAAUUAAGAAAUUAUAAUUUUGCUUGAAUUUUAAUGUAACAUGGUUUACAUCACUCUAAACCAUCUAGGAAAGCCAAUCAAUUAAAAUCAAGUCAAAUUCAUGCAUCGAGAUUUUUCUAGUCCAACUAGGUGUUGUAGUAAUAUAGUUUCUUGUUAAUUAAAAGUUCUAAGUAAUAUAGUUUCUUGUUAAUUAAAAGUUCUAAACAAUUUAGAAAGUACAAUUCAACUUGGAUUUUAUAUGAAAUAUUAUUUCUCAAACCUAAACUAUUUAGGAAUCCAAAUUCAAUAACAAAUAACACCAAUUUAGGGCUUGGACAAAAACCCAUCCAAGAAAGAAAGCAAGUUCUAGCUAGGGUAGUCCACUAAACUUGGUGAUUAAGAAACCAAAUUUUGAAAUCUUGGUGAACAAGUUUCCUAAGAUUCCUAACAUUGAUUAUCAAGUAGAUUUUCAUUAAAAUCUUAUUGUACAAGUUUUUAAAGUCUCUUAACUUUUAAUAACACCAGCUACAUCAAGAAAACCAGUUACCAUAAUCAUAUUAAGGAAACCAUGCAUCACAUGCAUGCUUUACAUGCCCAGCUACCAGUAGCAGAUUUUUGGGCAGAACUUGUUAUCAACUUUUGAAUGACCAAAUCAUCAAUAUUUUUAUUUUCAAGUAUUAAAAUUUCAUAGCCAAAUAUUACCAAAUAUUAUCCCUAGAGUGAGAAUUAAUUUUUGUAAUAUCACUAUAAUAUAAUUUUCUUGAUAUGGACAUAUUGCAAACAAAAACUUUAUUGAGCAUGCAAACAAUAUCCAAAAAUCAUCAAAUUUAAUACCAAUAAUCCUAAGACACCAUGUUUUGAUAUUCUAAAAGAAUGCAAUCAAAAUAAUAUAGAAAAAAAUUAAUUUUUUAGCCUCUACAUCACAAUAACAGAUUGUAAUCAACACAGUUUUAAUAUCAUGAACAACCAACCAAACUUCUAAUUUGUAUAAUCUAUAUUAACAAGGCUUUGAUACCACUUGAAGGGAAUUAUGUAUUAUUAUCAGAGUUAAAGCAAUGGAAUUUUAAAAAAUUUUAAUUCCCUAAAGCCAAGAUCAAUCACUAAGAUUAUACAAACAAAUAACUUCACAAGCAUGCAUAGGUUUUAGCUUAGAUGCUUACCUUAAAUGCCGAAAUUCUUUUAGUUCAGCUUGGUGAUCUUCCAAAUAGAUUCCAAGCCUAGAAAUUGCCAAAAUGUUUAGCCCCUAAUGGUGAUCUAUACGAACUCUUGUGAAAAAACCUUCUCUAAGGUUUGCCAAACUCAAUGCUACACUAUAGCUCGUAAGUGUUUGCAUAACCUUUCGUAUUUUCUUGAGUGAAACUUCUUUUCUAACUACUUUUAUGUAAGAUGGGGUGACUUGAUAUCUUUUUUAUAUGGGAUGCAUUUAACUAAAUUAGGCUUAAUGCUUGGAAUAAAAAUUUCCACAGUUAACCCUAUGCUAGUUGAAUGUACCAAAUAAGGGAAACUUUUUCUUUUAUUUGUAUUUCCUCUAUUUUUGGUCAUACAAAAAACAAGUUUAGUCCAACUUAAUUUGUCCCAAUUUCAAUCUUUCUCAAUUGUUCCAAUGUAUGAGAUGCAUUAAGUUCUUUAGCAAGUUGGCAAUAAACACAAGCAUUGUAAGCGUUAGUAUUUAGCUUUGGGUGAAAAAAACUUUUUGUCUUUAUAACCAAUUCUCCAAUUAGCUAGUCUUAUGUUUAUAGAUCAUGAUCAAUGCUUGCUUCAUUACAAUGAACCCUAAUUGCUAACAAAAACUCAAUAUGGCUUGACAACCUAUCCAUGAAUAGUCUCAGUGUAUAAUUAAUAUCCUUUCAUCACAUAGUAUUUCAAUUUAAACAUUAAGUAUAGUUUAAUGCCUACUUAAUCUUGUUCAAUCAUGGUUAGUCUUGUCCUUGACAUUAACUCACAAAUAAGCUUUAGAAUAAGUCUAAACUUUUAUUUCACUUUGGCGUAAGAUUUCUCAAGGUAUUUCAAUCAAGACUAGUUAAGACACUCUCUUGAUCACACAAGGUGAUGAAUCUCAUCCUGAUUACUUCAUGCAUCUUCAUAUGCCUCAUGUUAUACCUAACAAUACUUGAUUUGAGCAUUCUUGGUUAGAACCAUAAGUAAAGUAAAGUCAAAGUAUAGCAUUUAUCAUAUAAGAUCAUAAAUAAUCUUAAGUCAAAGGAUCACUUAUACAACCAUCACAUGAGAAUGUAGCUAUAGACACUAUGUGAACUAACAUAUAGCAUUCUCAUAUUAGGUCACAUUCAAUAAACUUGCUCUUGUAACAAACAUCUAUAUGUUAGCUCAAGUUUAUCCAAACUUUAACUUAUGAGAUCGGUUGCUUGCUUCAUAUGCAAAAUAUAAACAUAUGCUAGCCUCAACAACUUUUGUUAAUGUCCUCUUAUUGAUAAAGCAUCAACUAAAAACAAUUUUAGAAUAUAUAGCUUUUAUACAAAGAUGAUCUCAUAAUUACAAUCUCAUUGUAAGUCCCUUGCAAAGCUUUAUUUAUAUUAUGAGGACUUUACAUAUAAGCAUCAACAUUGAAAUAUAUGUAUACAAGCUCAAUGACAAAGAAAUAAAACCUUUAUAACAUAUCAAAUAUCAUUGUACUAUAAAUAUGACAAUAUCUUAGCCAAAAUAAGAUUCGGCUUAAAGGGAAAAUACCAACAAAUCAUGUGUUUAACAAGGUUUUCAUGACCGCAAUUGUCUUCAAACUUUUGGUCCUGGACAGGUCAUCAAUAGUCAAAUCAUACUUGUCUGAUUAAAAUCUUUUUCUUAAUUCAAAUAUUCCUUCUUCUUCUUUUCUUUACCAUUUUUUCACUAUGAUCUCUCCCACAAUCCUUAUCUCCUAUUUCUUUAUCAUCAUUCAUCAUUUCUGUUCAUUCAUUCACCCAUCAUUUUGCCAUUUCCAACUUUCUUCAAUUUUCAUUCCAUUCAUUCAUUUUUCAUUCAAUCAGCCAUCAUUUCCAUUUCCUAUUGACUUUCCUAUUCUUUAUUUCAUCAUUUCAUCAUCAUUUUUAUUUCAUUCAUCAUUACAUUUUUUUCAUUUAUCAUUACAUUUUUUUCAUUUUUCCCACUUUGCCUUUCUUUCACCCUUUUUUCUUAAUUGGUGCAAUUUCAUUAAGCUUAAUGAUCUCAUCUAUAUGCCAGCUAAUUAGGGCUUAAAUCUUAUCGCUGCCAGCUAGACUGGGCUUAAAAUUCUCUAGUGCCAGCUAAACUGAGCUUGAUUUUUCCUUAGUGCUACUUAAACUAACCUUAAUUCUCUUCGAUGUCAGCUAAAUUAGGCUUAAAUCUCACUAGUGCUAGCUAGACUGGGCUUUACUUUCCUUGGUGCUAGCAAAAUUAAGCUUAAUUCUCUUUGGUGCCAACUAGAUUGGUCUUAAUUUUCUCCCAUGCCAACUAGACUGGCUUAAUUCUCCUUAGUGCCAACUAUACUAGGCUUAAUUUUCCUUGAUGCCAGCUAGACUGGGCUUAAUUCUGCAUAGGUACUAGCUAAAAUGGCUUAAUUUUCCUCAGAGCUAGCUAGACUAGGUUUAAUUUUUCUCAGUACUUAUAAAAUUAGGGUUAAUUCUUCUUGGUGCCAGCUAGACUAGGUUUAAUUCUUCUCAGUGCUGGCUAGACUAGGCUUAAUUCUCCUUGGUGCUAGCUAGACUAAGCUUAAUUCUCUAUAGGAGCCAGCUAAAUUAGGCUUAAAUUCUCUUGAUGCUAGCUAAAUUGGACUUAAUUCUUCUUGGUGCCGACUAAACUUGUCUUAGUUCUUAUAUAUUUUUUAGAAAAUAAAUUCUUGACAUUUACUCAACUGUUAUCAUAUCUCAUCUUUUUCAUUUUUUCAACAACCCAUCUCUUUUAUGGAUUCCAUUUUCAACUCUUCAAACCCUUACGUAAUUUUUGCCUUUCAUCAAACUAUUUUCUCUUUUUCUUUUUUUUUCUUUUCUCAUGAUAAACUUCUUUGUCUCUUUUUGCUUUCUUUAUUUUCUUUUUCUUUUUUUCUUUAUUUUUUUCUCCUAUUUUUCUAACUCUUUCCUUCCAUUCUUUUUCUAGUAGACUCUACUUUCUUGUCUCUUGAAUUAGGAGAUUAUUUUCCUUUUAGAUUCUUUCCUUUGACAGACUUCUAGUUUUAUCUUAUGUUCUUUUUUUAUGUUGUUUUUAAUACUCACAAAGUUGACAAAUGCAAUCAUGGCACAAAUGUUUAUUUCUAACAAAUGAUGUGAAUGCAAAGGUCUUUAUGCAAAUGCAAGAAUUCAUGUUAUGACAGAAUGUUUUCAUGAUACAAAUACUCAAUGCAAAUACAAGUAACGUUUUCAUGAAGCAGAUGCCAAUGUUCCUUUCAUGUAGAUGACUCUACAAUGAUAUGAAUUUUUUUUUUAUGACAAAAACAUACCUAAGAAGAUGCAUGGUAAAUUUUUUUACUAGCAACUUUCUUUUCCAUGAUACAAAUGCCUCUUAUGAAAACAAAUACCGAUGUUUAUGAUAUGAAUGCCCUAAACAUAUAAAUGCAUAUUUGCAAAAUCAAUUUUUUUCAAGUACUCCUUGUAACCAUAGAACUUCAUUUCACAAAUGUCAAUGCCCAUGCAGAUGCAAAAACCUCAUGAUGUAUGUACCCUGACAUAAAUGUAAACAUCAAAAACACUCCCUUUUUCAAAAGGGAAUUCUUUCCAAAUUCAGCUGAUCUCUUAUUGCCCAUCCAAUUAAAUCAUCAAUUUUUCCCAAAAUGAUCUAAACUUACCAUUUUGCUAUUCCUUCACAUAUUCCAACUUGUUUCUUGAACAAUUUCUACCUAUUUACUUUUAGACAAGUCCACUUUUUUUUCCUUUCAUUUUCAACAUGCUUUCUUUUAUUUUUACAAACAUACACAUGCAACAUGCAACAUGCAUUUUGGACUCAAUUUAUGGAAACAAGACACACCAUUAUUCCUAAAAUAAUUUUCUUUUCUCUUUUCUUUCCUUCCUAACAACAUUCAUUCUUCAUUGAAAAUCAUUUUUUCCUUAAAUCCAAACUACUAAUAUGAUUUCUUUAUUUUACAAAAAUAUGUGACUGGUUAUUCAAAAUUUUCUUCAAAAUGAUCAACAAAAUUUGCCCCACACAAUUAAAUUCCUUAAUCAAAGAAAAUAAAAUAUCUAAACAAAUGUGAAUUUGAGAGUCUCUUAGGAAUUGACGUUCCUUAGUAGAAAUGAAAAAGGUGACAAUUUUUUUUCAACAGAUUAGAUUGUUUAGCAUGUAAAGGUUUCAAUUUGUUCAAAAAAGGCUAUACUUUUCAAUGUAGGCUUACAACUGAAACAAGAAUUUUUCUAAAAUCAUGAAUACCUUGAAAACCAAACAUGUUCAAUAUUUUUUUUAGUAUCUAAAUGUGGCACUUUUAUUGAUAUGAAAGUUUGCUAUGAUGGGUUGCAAAAUUUUGGAAGGGAUGGGGAAAGAAAGCUUCAAUUUUUUAAAAAUCAAUCUCUUUUUGUGUAUUUCAAACCUUUGGGGACCUUAUUGCACUUAAAUUUUAGCUUUUUCAUACCUAUUUCUAGUGUAAUGUUUCUUAUAUUUUGGCUUAUUCUUAAGGAUUUUGGCAAAAUUAUUCCUAAAUGCAUAUUUAUCUCAUGUGUAGCUACAAAUUAUGAAAAUGAGGAAUUUUCGUCAAUCUGGAUACAAAUAUGGAGGAUUUUUGGUCCAUUUUGUGCAAAUGGCCUAAAUUAGUGUCAAUAGAUCACAUUGAAUGAAGUGUUUUUACUUUUCUUGCCUAAUUAUUUUUCAUAGUUUUUUGUAAUAAAAUGUAUGCUAAAUAAAUUCAUUCAAGUGUUUGGAAUUGUUUGCAGAAAAAAAAAUUGAAUGAAGCAUGCAAGAAAGGAUGGACGUGCAUGGGUGCAUGGAAGAGUGAUCAAGCAAAUGGCGUUAUAAGCUAGGUUUGAGUCAUCAAAGAAAGUAGAUGAUGUAGCAUUAUUAGAGGUUUUGAUUGGCUAUUAAAUUGACUUUUUGAAGUAGCAAAUUAUAUGUGAAAUCAAUUAGCAAAGCUAUUGAAAAAGCAACCAAACCACCAGCCAUGCACCCGAUGUUGCAACACCAAGAGAAAAAGGCUCCAGAAAUGCCUAGCCAAAUGAAGAACUUUUUGGAUUUUUUUUAGACCUUAAGCUCCUCCCUUGUGCCUAUAAAUAGAGGGAGAGGGUUCACAUUAGAAGAGAGUUAGUUUAGGAUUUAAAUCUUUGUUUCCUCAUUUUCUUGCACUUUCCUUUCCAUAAUUUACUUUUUCUUAGUUUCCAAACAUUAUUUUUCCAGCAUUUUCCCUUUGAAUUUCAUUGCAAAUUUGCUUUUUCUUAAGUGUUUUUAAGUGUUCUUUCAUAAUCAUUUGAUAAAAUUUACAUUUGAAUUCAUUUUCUAGCUUAAACUACCAAUUUCUCAUUGAUACUCAAAUCUAUCUUUAAAUAUGCCAAUUUUGACAUACUUGCAGUUUUUGGAUGAUAUCUCUAUCAAAUCUUGAUUAUUUUUUAUCAAUUUUUUUAAUAGUUUCCCAAUUCAUUUAGCGAUAACCUAGUUUCAAUUCAACUUCAAACUCGCAACACAGCAUUCUAGAUCAAGCUUAAAAGUUCUGGCUAGAUGUAGGUGACAGAUACAAGCCAAACGUGAUCCAUCAACUUUGGCAUGGAAUUGCUCUCCCUUUGGCGAUUUGAUUGCCUUCUCUUCACUUUAGAUAUUCAGUUCUACUUAUUACCUUGCUGAAUUUCACUUUGUGCAAUUUUAUUUCAUAUUUUUAAUAGCUUUUUGGAUCAAAAUUGUUGAAUACAUUAUGUUUAUGCUUAGUUGUGUAUUGUUUCAUUUCCUAUCUUAGUGAGCUGAUUUUCUUGUUACUUUCUAUGAAUUUUUUUGUUGAAAUCUAUAGUAAACUUGUUGUUUGAUCUUAUUUUAGUUCAGUUUAAGCUCAUGUUUGUUAGAAAUUUUUAAAUCUAUAUUUUUAGUUUGUGAAUCAUUAAAAUUUUGUUUUAACACAACUGUUGUUUGGUUAAUUUUUUAGUUCCUUCAUAUGACUUUUCUAAAAUUUUUUAUUUCUCUUUACUUUCUCACCUUGUUCCUUAGUUAAACCUUAAAUUUUCAGCCCAUGUUAACUUGAUUUUGCAUCAUUUAAAGCUAGAAUAGUAGUUUCAAAUUCAGUUUCCAAAUUCUAGUAUACUAUUGAUUUUCAUGUUCUAGCUUAGAUUUUACAAUUUUCUUUCAUUGCUUGCGUUUCAAAUCUGUUUUUAGUUUAGGUCUUUAAUUGGUUUUGCAAUUUAAAUUUUGAUUGUAUUCAAUUUGAUGCAAUUUAGCAUUUGUCUUGCUUGUAAACUCACAAUUUUUAUGAUUUUCUUCUAGUUUAGCUUUAGGCUAGUUAAUUGAAUUUUGUGAUUUUAGUUCUUAACGCUCAUUCAAAUAUGAUUUCAUUUAGAAUUGUUAGCUUUAUAGGUUAGAUGGUGAUCCAAGAGAGGGGUAAAUUGGAUCUCUCUAAAUUCUUCUCAAACAAUGAUUUCAAUAUAGUUGAAUGGAAAUUAAGACAAUAAGCACUUUUGAAGAAAAUAUAAUGCAAACAAUAACAAUUAAUGAACUUAAAAUCAAAUAUGGACAACAAUAAAUUAUAAGGAGAUAGGGAUAGAGAAAUCAAACACAAUGAUUUAUAGAGGUUCGAUCCUUCUCCAUAGGGCACCUACGUCCUUUCUCUUGGUUGUCCACACCAAGGCUCAAAUCCACUAUGUGUUGAAGAUUACAAAUAAGCUUCUCAAAGCUUUACAAACUCAACACUACACACUCUUAAGGGUUAUCCUCCCCUUUACAAGCACACAAUACAAAAUUUUGAAGUAUUUUGCAAACUCUAAGAACUUCUCAAAGGUUGGGUGUUUGCUAAUUUGAAGUACACAAUGGUAUAGACAAGAAAAUGAUGAAUGAACAACAAUAAAUAAUUUGGAUACAAUAAAUACAAAAAUAUAGACUUUAAAGCUCUAAGAACUCUUGAUUAUUUGAAAGAAUGAAAAUAUUGCUUGUUGGCAUUUGCUCUCUUGAUUCAUCAAUCUUCUUAGUGUGUUGGAGUGCCCAAUUUAUAGAGAAAUUGAAAAGGUAGCUGUUGGAAGUGUUUGGGAGAGAAAAAUAGCCAUUGGAAGCACCAAAAAGUAGUCGUUAGAGUGUUUUCGCCCAAAGCUGAUCGAUCCCUUACUUGAGGGGAUCGAUUGGUUCAUGUCUUGAACCAUUUUUCACUUGAAAAUCAUGACCCAAUCGAUCCCUUCCAUGAGGGGAUCGAUCUUGUCAGUGGCUGGGUGGUUAUCUCAUGUUUUACACUCUACUCACUAAUUUGAUCAUAUCUUGAGCUAUAUAAAUCCAAAUCACAAACCAUUUCAAGAUUUAGAAAUUAAACUUAAAGGGCUUUCUAUCCAUAUAAAAUUAAUCACCUAAUUCAUUAAGUAUGAAUUAUAGUGAAUUUUCAAAUUUAAGCCUUAUGUAGUUUUUCUAAUAACUGCAGAGUGUCUAGUAAAAAUUCAAAAUUUUUUCUUAGAAAAUUUGGAUUUUAAUUUUGUUUAAUCUAUUAGAAAUUAGACUCAAAGAGCUUUCCAACCAUAUAAAAUUUAAAUAUUAAAACUUUGUGAAUUAAUACAAAAAAAUAAAGUAAGUUUAAUGUUGGAAAACUUUGUUCUUGUAAAACAACUUUCUUAAGUUAAUCUAUUUCUCAAAACCAAUAUUAUCAAAAUUGUAAUAAGUCUAAAAUGAAUAAGUUCACUUUAAAAACAACAAUUGUACUUUCAUUUAAGCUCAAAUAAAUAAUCUUUAAAGAUAGAUUUGGUUUGAGAAAUAUGAAAAAAAAAGAAAGGUUUGUUUAAGCUUUGAAAAUCAUAUUAUUUAUUUAGUACCAAAAUAUAAAACUUAAGAAUAUGUACUAAAUAAAUCCUUUUUCAAAAUCUUGAUCAAGUUUAUUUAGCUUUAAUUUUUUGUCAUUUCAAAAUAAGGAUCAAUUCAAGGCUAACAAGAAUGGAUUAUUGUAUUUUCCCAUUAUAUUUAGUUUGGUUUUUUAUUUGACAAUAUGACAAUGUCUUGGUCAAGAGUUCUCGUUAGCCUUGAAUGUGAUAAUGUCUUGGCCAAAAUAUGAUUCAGCUUGAAGGGCAAAUAUAGAUAGUAAUGAAAACAAAAAGUUUAUUCCAUCUAUAGCCGAAUACUAAGGCUCACAAUGCUUAUGUUUAUUGCCAACAUGCUAAAAAACCUAAUGGGCCACACAUAAUAAGACAAUUGUGAAAGAUUAAAAUCGGGGUAAAUUAAGUUAGACUUAAUUUGGUUUUAGUAUGACCAAAAAUUGAUGAAAUAAAACAAGAAAAAGAGUUUUCUUUUAUUUUGAUGGAUUCGACUAGCAUAGGUUUUCUAUGGAAAUAUACAUCCAUGCAUUGAACCUAAGGUUGGCAGGACACUUCCCCUACAAUUGGGACAUCAAGUAGUCACCCUCUUGUAUAAUUCUUGUAAGUAAUUAGCAAGUUUCGCUUAAGGCUAAAACAAGCUAAGAGAGCCUAAGCAAAACUUGAGAGAAUACAAAAUGUCUUGCAAACACUUAUUAGCUAAAGUGUGGUUUUGAGGUCUACCACACCUUAGAAAAGGUUCUUUCACAAGCAUUCAUGUGGAUUACCAUUAGAGGCUAAACACUUGGGUAGGUUCUUCACUCGGGAAACUAUUUGGAAGGUCCAAAUUGAAACAAAGGAAUCCUGGCAUUCAGGGUAACACCUUUAGCCGAAAUUAUGCAUGCUUUUGUGUGUGUAUAUAUAUAUUAUUUGUAUGAUCUUAUUGAUUGAUCUUGGCUUUAAGGAAUUAAAAAUUUUAAAAUUACACUAUUUUAACUCUGUAUAUGGUUGCAUAAUUCCCUUGAAGUAGUAUCAAAGCCUUGUCAAUAUAGAUUCAUAUUAUCAAAACUAUUUUGGUUGCAAUCUGCCAUUGUGAUGUAAAGGCUAGAGAAUUGAUUUUUUCUAUAUUGUUUUGAUUGGAUUCUUUUAAAAUAUCAAAUAUGAUGUCUUAGGAAGAUUGGGUAUAAAUUUUAUGAUUUUUGGACAAUUUUUGCAUGUUCUAUGAAUUUUUGUUUGUAAUUUGUCCAUAUCAAGAAAAUUCACUGUAGUGAUAUUACGAAAUUGUUUCUCACUCGAAGAAUAUUAUUUGGCUACUAAUUUUUAAUAUAUGAAAAUAGUCAUAUUGGUGAUAAUUUUGUAAAAAUUUCAUAAUUUUUGGAGUUGUUUAGUCAUUCAAAAGUUGAUAAGUUUAGCCUAGAAAUCUAUUAAUGGCGGUAAGGUAUGUACAAUAUGCAUAUGAUGCAUAAUUACCCUAAUAUGAUUAUGGUAAUUGGUUUUUUUAAUGCAGCUGGUAUUCUUAAAAGUUAAGAGACUUUAAAAACUUGUUCACUAAUAUUUUAAUGAAAAUCUACUUGGUGUUCAAUAUUGGGAAUCAUAGGAAACUUGUUUACCAAGACUUCAAGAUUUGUUUUUUUAAUCACCAAGUUUAGUGAACUAUUUUUAUAAAAAUCAAAGUAAUUAUUACUUGUGAUUGAAGAAUCAUGACCAAAGGCAUAAGAAAGCAUCGAAAAGUGUUUAGAACUCUUGAAUGGUGGCUAGUAGGGGUGGAAUAGCAUAAUAUGGCCGAAACUACUAAGUUGCCAUAAAUUCUACCUUAGUUGCAACUUGCUUCCUAUUUUGAAUGAUUAUUUUGCCAAGCCCUAGUUUGAUGAUAAUUCUUGUUGAAUUUGGAUUUCUAAAUUGUUUGGGUUUGAGAAAUAAAUUUUCAUAUAAAAUCCAAAUUAAAUUGGACUUUCAAAAUUGUUUACAACUUCUAAUUAGCAAGAAACUAUUUCACUACAACACCUAGUUGAACUAGGAAAUUCCCAAUGCAUAUAUUUUGGCUUGAUUUUAAUUGAUUGGCAUUCCUAAAUGGUUUAGAGCAAUGUUAAACCUGUUACAUGAAAAUCCAAGUAAAAUUAUGAUAACUUAAUUGUUUAGGAAAUUAUAAUUGCAAAUUACAUGCUCUUACAAUAAUAGUUAGACAUAUUCAACCAAACUAACAAAACAUGUCUAUGUUUUACAUCACAUUGAGUUGAAUUGAUGAUUGAUAUAUGAUAUUGAUAUUGAUUCAAAGAUAGAUGUGCAAGAUGAUGAAUUUCAACUAAAAAUGAUGAUUGUUGUAGUAUGUAUGCUAGUUAUGAGAUAAAUGCCACGUAUGCUAUGUUGAUUUGUUAUUAUACAUGCUAGAAUUUAUAUGUGAUAAACUCCUUAUAUAGUUGUGAAAUACAUGAUAAGAUUACAUGUAUUGGAUGAAUGAUGCAUUCUUAUGCAUGCUUGAUGAGACCUAUGAUGAAUUAAAAAAAAUCCCUUAUGAAAAAUAUUAAGUCUUGAUGCCCUUCAUUAACAUAAACAACUGAACAUUCUACUAGCGGGGCUUAUUGAGACUAAACUCAAGGUACUUAUUAUUCAAAAUAAGAUUGUGUUAUAGUUAAUGGGUCUUAGCAAUUAUUAUAUUGUUCGAUAUGACAAAGUUACUUUACCAAAUUUACUUAUCAUGGCUUAUUGAGACUAACCUCAAGGUUAUGAUAAACUAAAUGAGAUCAUAGCCCACUAGAAAAAAGUAAUUUUUCUAAAUUGAUAGUGAAGGCCAUUGAUUUCAUUAAAAUUGUGGGAGCACCCAAUAUAUAUAUUUAGACCUUAUCUAUAUUGGUACUGAACAAUAUGACCAAUACUUGUUCAUAUUUUGUAGGUGCAAAAAUGAUUAAGAACUUGUCGCUUCAUUGUAUACUUGAUGCUAACAAUCUCAUAAAGCCUAACUUCAAUGAUUGGUUUACCACAAUCUAAAGCUUAUCCUAAGACAAGGUAAAAUGCUUUAUAUUCUUGAUGAGCCAGUUCUAUUAGAACUAAAUGCUAGUGUUAAUGAUGAAGUGUGGCUAGAUUGUGAAACCCACAACAACCAUACUGAUUAAGCCGCAUGUAUCAUGGUGGCUAGCAUGACUCCUGAGUUACAAUGGCAACAUGAGAAUAUGGAUGCUCCAACAAUCAUUUUGCACAUUAAGGAAUUGCUUGACAAACAAGGGCAAACUGAGAGAUUUGAGACUUUUAAGGAAUUAUUCCAAAGUGAUGUCUAAAAGCAUUAUCUCAAGAUGAUCAAGAAACUUGGACAAUUUGGAUUUGCGAUAGAUCAUGAGUUAGGUGUUGACUUGAUCUUGUUAUCUUUUCCUAAUAGCUUUUCACAAUUUCUAAUAAACUUCAAUAUUCAUCAAAUAGAAGUAAUAUUACCAUAAUUGAUAAAUAUCCUAAACACUAUCAAAAAGUUCAUUAAGAAUCAAAAGCCUGAUACUCUUUUAGUUUCUUCAUCUAAAGCCAAAAAGAAGUUAACAAGAAAAAGAAAAGUAAGAAGGUUGAUAACCUAUCUCUUUUUAACACAUCUUUUUAGGUGUUGGAUACUGGAUGUGGUUUUUACUUAUGUGAUGACAUAUAGGGACUAAAGAAGAGUAGAUACCUAAAGAAGGGAAGGGUGUCCUUAUGUGUUAUAAAUGAUGCAAGUGUUGUUGCCUAUGCCAUGGGGACUUAUUAUUUGCCUUUACCUUCUGGUUUAGUUUUAAAACUAAAGGAUUGUUAUUAUAUUCCUGUCAUAACUUGAAACAUCAUUUCAAUUUCUUAUUUAAGUAUGAUUGAUGGAUACUCAUUUAAUAUUAAAGGUAAUUGUUGUUCCUUUUAUUUAAAUGAUGCAUUUUAUGGCAUGGGAAUGUAUGAUAAUGGCUUAUAUGUUCUUAUAUUAAACAAUCAUGUUUUCAAUAUAAAUGUCAAAAAACCUAAGUUAAAUAAAUUGAAUCAAUCAUACUUGUGGCACUGUAGGCUUGGUCAUAUCAAUGAAACAAGAAUCACAAAGUUAUAUAAACAAGGUACUUUGAUCCUUUUGCUUAUGAAUCAUAUGGAACUUAUGAAUCAUGUUUACUUGAAAAGAUGACCAAAUCACUAAAAGGAAAAAAAAAAGUAGUGUGGUUCUUAGACUAAUACAUUCGGAUAUAUGUGGCCCAAUGAAAACAAAUGUUAGAGAAGGGUACUCUUAUUUCAUUAUAUUCAUUGAUGAUUAUAUAAGAUAUGGUUAUGAAUAUUUAAUGAAAUACAAGUCUGAAUCCUUUGAAAAGUUCAAAGAAUUUAGAAUGAAGGUUGAGAAGAAAAUUGGUAAAAGUAUCAUGACACUUAGAUCAAAUCAAGGUGAUGAAUAUUUAAGCCAUGAGUUUCUAGGCUAUCUAAAAAAGAAUAGAAUUCUCUUACAAUGGACUCCACUUGGAACACCACAACACAAUGAAGUUUUCGAAAGGAGAAAUAGAAAAUUGUUAGACAUGGUUAGAUCCAUGAUGAGUAAUUUGAAUCUUCCUAUAUCCUUCUAGGGUUAUGCACUUGAAACAGCCACUUAUAUUCUAAAUAUCUAAAUUUGUUGAUAAUACAUCAUAUGAAAUAUGGAAAUGUAAAAGACCUAGCUUGUCAUACAUAAGGAUUUGGGGAAAUAAUGCUUAUAUGAAGCAUGCACAAGUCAACAAGCUUAGAGCUAGAUCGGUUAAGUGUAAAUUUAUGAGAUAUUCAAAGGAAACUACUAGAUAUUAUUUCUACAACUCUAAGAAACAAAAGGUGUUUAUUUCUAAACAUGUUGUCUUCUUGGAAAAAAGAGUUUGUCCUUAAAGAGAACAUUGGGAGUAAAGGAGAACUUGAUAAAGUUCAAGAAACAUAAAUUGACACAAGAAUGGAAUUUGAGCUAAUGGCUAAGGCUUCAAAUGCACAACCAAAAGUUCAAAGUACACAAGAACUCUAUAGGUCAAGUAGCAAGACUCACUAAGUUCCUGAAAGAUAUAGAUUUCUCAUGGACAAGGACGAUUUGAUAAUAGAUUAUGAUCCUACUACCUAUCCAAAAGUAAUAUUGGACAUUGAUUCUAAGAAUGGCAUAAGGCCAUGAAAUUUGAAAUAUAACAAAUGUAUGCAAACCAAAUAUGAACUUUGGAGGAACCAUCCAAAGGGAUAAAACCCAAAGGGUGCAAGUGGGUUUUCAAGAAAAAAAUUAACAUGGAUGGCAAUGUACAAACAUACAAAACCAGGCUAGUUGCAAAAGUUAUAAUCAGAAUCAAGGAGCUCAUUUUCAUGAAACUUUUUCACCAGUAGCUAUGUUAAAAUCCAUUAGGAACUUGCUUGCUAUUACCACAUAUCAUGACUAUGAGAUAUGGUAAAUGGAUGUUAAAGCAACAUUCCUUAGUUGGAAUUUGCCAGAGGAUGUGUACAUCACACAACCCAAAGGCUUUGAAUCAAAAAAUCAUGUCAACAUGGUAUGUAAGCUUCAAAAGUAUCUAUGUACUUAAGCAAACAUCAAAGAGUUGGAAUACACAUUUUGAUGAAUUAUAGAAUUCAGAUUCAUAAAAACCGUAGAUGAGCCUCAUGUAUACAAGAAGACAAGUGUGAGUGCAAUCAUUUUCAUAAUGUUAUAUGUGGAUGGUAUAUUGCUUAUAAGAAAAUAUAUACAUCAUUACAACAAAUUUUGUCUAUUAGUAACACAUAAAAUAAUGUCACUAAAUAUUUGUUUUUCAUCACCAUAUAUAUUUUGUGACAAAAAAUUAAACGUCACAACAUUCAUUAUGUUUGCACCGUCACUAAAGAUCUAACAUGAAGAUACCAAAAUAUCUUCACCUAUUGUAAAUUUAUCGUGACAAUAAGAGUCAAACAUCAUCUUAUACUUUUUUUUUUGUGACGUUAAUUUUUGUCAGUUAUUUAUGAAAAAAAAUGUCAUUAAAAACUAUAAUUGUCACAAAAUAAAUGAUAAAAUUUGAUAUAUUUAUGACAAAAGGUAAAUUGUCACAGCAUUGGUGAUAUAAUUAUCGUCACCAAUUAUUAUAAAAUAAUGUCAAGCAUAACAAUAAAAGCAAACGCCGUCUUAUACUUUUUUUUGUGAUGUUAUUUUUCAUCGACUAUUUAUGAAAAAAAAAAUGUCACUAAAAGCUAUAAUUGUCACAAAAUAAAUGACAAAUUCUAAUAUAUUAGUGACGAAAAGUAAAUAAUCACAAUUUUAGUGACCUAAUUAUUGUCAUCAGUGAUUAUAAGAUAAUGUCAAACAUGACAAUAAAAUCUAAAAUCACCUCGUGUUUUUUUAAGAUAUUAGAUUUUGUCAGCUAUCUAUGAAAAAAAAUCAUUAAAUGCUAUAAUUGUCACAAAAUAAAUGAUAAAAUAAUAAUCUUCUUAGUUGAACAAAACUAAUAAUCUUGAAUCCUGCUUCUUGGGCCCGCAAUAUUUGCUCCAAUCUUUUGUGUUUUUCCAUUGGUGAUAAUACUUCAACAUACUGCAAGAUAUCAGAAUGAUGAAUUUCUCAAUAGCUCUAUAAUAAAAGUAACCAUUUAUUCACAAUAAAAAAUACUAAACAACUUUUAGGUUCCCAAAUCUACAUUAAAUUAAAUCAAGAUUAGUAGUAAGAGAGUUCAAACCUGCGUAUUAGACUUGUUUGCCACAAUCAUCAUCAUAUUGCCCAAUGUUGACCUGAUAGAUCUACAGUAGAUCUACAUACAAUGUUUUGAGAUUCCCCUUGCCAUGUUUGUUGUGUACAUGGAGGUCUAGUUGCAAGUAGGCACUUUUUUCGCAAUCUUCCAUAUUUUAGGUUGAAAACCCAUGUCUAACAUUCGAUCAGCCUCUUUUAACACAAGGUAAGAAACUUGAUGGAGGCUAAUUCUCCUCAUCUCUAGAAUAUCAUUUAACCGGCCAGGAAUGGCAACCACGAUAUCUACUCCUCUCUCAAUCUCUCUCCAAUGAGGACCUUU
rnacentral:lncRNA from 1 species